rnacentral:lncRNA from 1 species
CUUCAGUUUAAGCAAUCCUUUAAAAUAUCUGAUUACUCUAGUUUUGAGUGUGAUACUUCUUUUCCAAAAACAAAUUCUUGGAAUGAGAGUAGGGAUUGCUGCAGUUGGGAUGGAGUCACUUGUAACUUAUUAAACGGUCAUGUUAUUGGGUUAGACCUUAGUUGUAGUCUGCUUGGUGGAAGUAUUCAUCCCAAUAGCAGCCUCUUCCAACUUCAUCAUCUCCACACACUAAACCUUGCUUACAAUGACUUCGAUUAUCCUUCUUCAAUCCCACAUAACAUUGGUCAAUUGACGAAUUUGAGGCAUCUCAACCUUUCUCAUUCUCACUUUGAUGGAAAAAUCCCAACAGAAAUCUCAUACCUUUCCAAUUUGGUUUCACUUGAUCUUUCUUCUUUUUAUGGUUAUGUUUUACAACUUGAUGAGAGAACAUUUGAAACAAUGCUUCACAACUUCACAAAUCUGGAGCUACUUUCUCUCUCUUUUGUCAACAUCUCAUCUCCGAUGCCUGUGAAUGUUUCUUCCUCCUUAAGGUACCUCGAUCUUGGUUAUACUAAUAUGCGAGGUGUUCUCACAGAGAGCUUUUUCCUUCUGUCAAACAGCUUGGAAACGCUCAAAUUAAGUGAUAAUGAUCUUCUCAAAGGAGUUUUUCCAAAGACCCACCCGAGCAACACUCUGUUAAUGGAGUUGGAUAUUUCAGGCACAGGCAUCUCCGGUGAGCUGCCUCAUUCAAUUGGCACCUUCAGUUCCUUGAAUAUCUUGAACCUCUAUGGAUGUCAAUUCUCUGGUUCCAUUCCUGAUUCCAUAGGAAACCUAACACAAAUUACGGAGUUGCUUUUAUCUUAUAAUCAUUUCACUGGCCAUAUUCCUUCCACAAUCUCUAAAUUGAAGCACCUCAGAAUUUUAUAUCUUUCUGACAAUUCCUUCUCAGGUGAAAUUCCUGAUGUUUUCUCUAACCUCCAAAAGCUAUACUAUUUAGAUCUUUCUGAAAACAGCUUCACUGGUCCAUUUCCUGCUUCAAUUUUAGGUUUGACACAUCUUGAAUACUUAGACAUGUCGAGUAAUUCCCUAUCUGGCCCACUACCUAGCAACCAAAGCAUGCUUCAAAAGCUAACUUCUGUGGAUUUGUCAUACAACUCACUGAAUGGUACCAUACCAUCUUGGGUGUUUCGCCUACCUUUGCUAUCUUCAGUGUCGCUCCAACAUAACCGAUUCAGAGGACUAGCCGAGGAAGUGAUCAAAACAAACCCAACAUUAAAACAACUGCUUUUAAGCAAUAAUCAACUCAGUGGUUCUUUUCCUCAAUCACUUGUGAAUCUCACAAACCUUGAAACCCUUGGAAUUUCAUCAAAUAACAUCACCAUUGAUGAGGGAAUGAAUAUCACCUUUCUUAGCCUAUCAUCUUUAUUCUUAUCAUCUUGUCAACUGAAGUAUUUUCCACACUUCUUGAGAAAUGUAAACACACUUGAGGGCUUGGAUAUUUCUAACAAUAAGAUUUGUGGUCAAAUCCCUAACUGGUUUAGCAGCAUGAGGUGGGACUCAUUGCUGUUCCUAAACCUUUCUCAUAAUUCAUUAACAGGCCACCUACCACAAUUUCAUUACUAUAACCUACCACAAUUUCUGUUUCAAGUUGACAGAAGUGAUCUACACAGCCGCUCAUUAGCUAUGUUACUCAAACUCUUCAAAAAUGUCAAUGGGUACGUGUUGGAUUCUUCAAAAGUAAUGCAAUUUUUAAGGAACCAACACAGGUGUCAUUAUAUUUUAGGAGAGUCGAAACAACAUAACUCAUAUUUCUUAACAUUUUCUGCUUCUACAUUUAUUGCUGUUAAAGAUCAUUGCUUGAAAUGGCUUAACUCAUACACACAGAGGAUAGCAACUAUUGAGCUGUUGACUGAAGUGUUCCAUUUAUUAAUACAACAAAACAGGAAAAGGCUACAUCCACCUCUGGGGCUCAUGUUGUUCUGUUUCUUCAAAUGCAAAACACUCUCUAUCAUGAUAUUCUUUAUUUUCAAGGUUCGAAUCUGAAACCCUUGGUUCAAUUUUACCUGGAACCAUUCAUUUAGCAUAACUAGAUGUCUUAUCGCAUUAUAGUUAUUAUACAAAGUGAAAAAAUUCAAGGGAUAAUAAGACCAUCUCAAAAAUCGGGUGUGUAACUGAAAAAUCUGACUCGACUUUAAGGGUAUACUUAGGGUGGUUCAAAAUCGAACCAUAACCGAUAGGCCAAUCGCAAAAUUGGCUUAUUUGUAUUGGAUUAUCGGAUUAACGGUUGAUCAACGAUUAAAAUUUUAUAGUUACGGUGCGGUGGCAGAUUACUCAAUUUCCUUAGGGAAAAUUACGCGGAAAAGCAAACAUAUACUAGUUAAUUAGCUAAUAUAGAUAUCACGACCCAAGUCUACACCCUGGAUGUGGCCGGCACUCAAGAACCAUUGUUGAUCCCCAAGCGAACCCUCAUCCUGACAGACUAACUUAAGCAUGCAAAAGCUUAAAAUUGAAAUUCAAUAAACUCAACUUUGUAAAACAUUAACUCAAAUGAACAACUUAGAAUAAAAAUAAUAUAUUCAACUCGCCAUAAAAUAGGCAACUUAAGUCUUUAAAACAUUUAAUAAAAUAAAUAAAUAAUACAGACUUUUCAACUAUACUGACUAUCUGUGAAGCCUCUAACUAAUAAAGAUAGAAGUCGAGACAAGACCCACGACAUCAUGACUAAACUAAAAAGUAAAUGAAAUCCUCCGGAAACAAGGAGGCUCACCAUAGCUAACUCGAACUCCCGGAUGUAUCAACGAAUCUCCUGUUAAUGAUCCUGAAUACAUAUGUCUGCAUCAUGAAAAGAUGCAAGCCAAAUGGCUCAGUACGUGGAAUGUACGAGCAUGUAAGGGGAAUUCUAAAACAUAAACAUAAGCUUGAAACUUGAUAAAAAGGAGACAUACUUUCCUCUUUUCAAACUUACUCAACUAAAGGAAUACUCAAGGACACUCAAAACUACUCAAACUUACUCAACUCAGAAGUACUCAAGGAUAAGAAACUCAACUAAGUAAUAAUUUUCUCAACUCAGUGAAACUCAACAAUAAGGUACUCGACACAAUGAANNNNNNNNNNNNNNNNNNNNNNNNNNNNNNNNNNNNNNNNNNNNNNNNNNNNNNNNNNNNNNNNNNNNNNNNNNNNNNNNNNNNNNNNNNNNNNNNNNNNNNNNNNNNNNNNNNNNNNNNNNNNNNNNNNNNNNNNNNNNNNNNNNNNNNNNNNNNNNNNNNNNNNNNNNNNNNNNNNNNNNNNNNNNNNNNNNNNNNNNNNNNNNNNNNNNNNNNNNNNNNNNNNNNNNNNNNNNNNNNNNNNNNNNNNNNNNNNNNNNNNNNNNNNNNNNNNNNNNNNNNNNNNNNNNNNNNNNNNNNNNNNNNNNNNNNNNNNNNNNNNNNNNNNNNNNNNNNNNNNNNNNNNNNNNNNNNNNNNNNNNNNNNNNNNNNNNNNNNNNNNNNNNNNNNNNNNNNNNNNNNNNNNNNNNNNNNNNNNNNNNNNNNNNNNNNNNNNNNNNNNNNNNNNNNNNNNNNNNNNNNNNNNNNNNNNNNNNNNNNNNNNNNNNNNNNNNNNNNNNNNNNNNNNNNNNNNNNNNNNNNNNNNNNNNNNNNNNNNNNNNNNNNNNNNNNNNNNNNNNNNNNNNNNNNNNNNNNNNNNNNNNNNNNNNNNNNNNNNNNNNNNNNNNNNNNNNNNNNNNNNNNNNNNNNNNNNNNNNNNNNNNNNNNNNNNNNNNNNNNNNNNNNNNNNNNNNNNNNNNNNAUGUGGAAUUAUGAGCAUGAACUACUCAACUCAAGACUGUUCGACUUAUAGGAUUCAUGCCAAAUUAUGGGCAUGAACACUUCAACUCAAGGACUUCAUGAGUAAUAUGAAAUAGUUCCAUGAUUAGAAAAUAUAAUCUCAAAGGGGAUUGGGAACUCAAUACUCAAGACUUAGAACUUAAAGAUAUUACCCCUCUCAAUGAUGCUCAAUUUAUGAAGUCUAUGCGGAAUUUAUGGGCAUGAACGACUCGACUAGAAGGUCUACAAACUACAUGGAAUUCAUGUAUAUGACACUUCUCAUUCUCUUACUUACCACCUCAAAACUUAGUUCAAAUCGAUAGUUGAUCUCAAAGGAUUCACAAUUGAACUCAAAGGCUUUCUUGAACUCUAUUCUUAACUUUCUCUUGAAUGUGAAUUAUGAAUUCAAGAGUUAUGGUUCAUGAUAUGAAGGAUAUCAUGAUGACAAAGUAUAUUCAUGAAUACAUUCUCCUCAUCCUCAUACUCACUUGCUCGAGUCUUGAAACAAGUUACUAGAAGUUGUAGAAAACUCCUCAAAAGAGCUCAAAGGGGCUUUCUGAGAAUGUUCGAAAGAAUUCUCAAAACUUAACUCUUAACUCUACCUUGAAUUUGAAUUAUGAAUUCAAGGUUAUGAUAAUGUUAGGAAUGAUUUUAGGUGUUUAGAAGUAUCUUAGAGUAGUUAGAAUCGAAAAGGAGUGAAUGUACCCUUCGAAAGAACUCAAACGAAGCAACCGAUUGCAAACUGGACGGGGCAGGAGACCCUGGGGCUAUGGGUGGCGCGGGGAGCCAGCCCCUAAACUUCAGAGCAUACUUUGGGGCGCUCUGGUUGGCGCUACGCGCCAGGACCCAACCCAGAAGACCCGACGAAAUUCUUUGCUAGUUUUCUCACCCUAUUUCGCUUAGAAUCGAGCGGUUUCUUCCCCAAUCACUUGGAUUCGAUUAUUUAACAUAAGUACACUCUAAUAUAUUCAAUACAGCCCUAAAAACACUCACAUUAAUCUCAAGAAAUCAUCAAAACUUCAACAAAACAAGAUUUAAAAUGAACUUCAAGAACACCUAACAAGAAAUCAUCAAGAACUCUAAUCCUUCAACUUUAAGAACAAAAUUGCGCUGAAAACAACAUGAUUGGCGUGUUGGUGAACAAAUCCAACACUAUGGAAGCUUACAUACCUCUUAGGGAUUAAACCCAUGGCGAAAAUCCGCAACAAAAUGCAAGACUCUCGACGAACGCUUUGAUCAUCUCCUCUUUUCUCCUCUUUUCUCUUCUUGAACUCUCAACUAAAACUCUAGGCUAAUUUUAGGAUUAUAAAACUGAACCUAAUAGGAUUAGACCCUUAAAACCUUACUAAAAAUGAAUUAAAUCCGAUUUGGUAAGGAAAAGACUAAAAUACCCCUCUAAAAUCCGGUUUUGACUUUCCUUAUCUAGACAACCCAACUUCGAAUGCACAUAUCUCCCUCAUACCAACUCAAAAACUGAGAAAACUCGGUGGCGUUGGAAAGAUAAUUCAAAGAUCUUUCCUACGGUAUCUGGUAGCACACCUAAAUCAUUCUGAGAUAGGAGUUAUGGUCGUUUGAAGUCAACCCAAAACUCAUACUUAGCUUAACUUGCAAAAUUUCAAAUAUUUGUUAUUUCCAAUUUAGUUCUUUUUGAUACUCAGGUGCUACAUCUAGUGACCUGACCUUAACACUUAAGAAAUUUUAAAUUCCUUAGUAAAAUCCUACUCACAACGAAGGACGGUUCAAGUCUUAGCUCAAAAUUUUUCUGGGGUGUUACAAUAGCUAUAGUUUGAAUUAAUUACGGCUCGCAACUUAAUUUUAGCUUUAAUUACGCCACUUGUCCUCUUUUAUACAUAUACAAAUACAAAUUAUACACAUAUAUACUCUUAUCGUAUCAUUGACUAAUGAGUAAUUUCUUAACAAGAAACCUUAAUGAUACCAAUAAAGUAUAUAUAUACUGAUUUAGUAUCAAUUUAGCGAAAUUAUCAGCCUUAAUGAUAUCAAUACAGUAUAUGAUAUUGAUUUAGUAUCAGUUAAGCGAAAUUAUCAACCUUAAUGAUACAAAUACAGUAUAUGAUACCGAUUUAGUAUCAGUUAAGCGAAAUUAGUAAGAGGGUAUAUAGUGUAAUUAUUUAGUGGGGUAUGAAUGUAAUGCGGUAUAUGUUUGUAAUUAUUUUGCUUUUAUGGGGUAUUUGCUUAUUUUCCCCUUUUCAUAAAUCUAACUUGAGGUGGGCUGAGUUCUAUUAAAUGUCGGUUGGGCUUGUUUUGCAAUUUCUAAAAGCCCAUUAAGUUUUGGCAUCUAUAUAUAUUUGGGUCAUUCACCAUGAAGUUAAGGAUUAAAAAAAUUUCUUUCCAUAUGACAUUCAUAUUUAAACGAAUUUAAAUUAUAUAUACCAACAAUAUAAAGUCUACAAUCAGUAUAAUUUAACGUGUUCUAGUUAGCAUGUUGUUUACCUUGAUUUGCAGGUUAUUAAUUUCACUUAUAAUGAAGAGUCAUGAUCUAUAGUUACUUUUAGACGAGUUGACAGUAAGAAAAUUUCUUUAAAGCUCUAGCAUACAAUUUUUCGAGAAACAAAAAAUAUAACAAAUGGAGAUAAGCCUAAAAUACCUUCGAACUAUUGGAAACGGAGGUACACACCACUCUCUUCAGACCCCACUUGUGAAAUUACACUAGGUAUGUUACGUUGUUACUCUGUUUCACUUACAAAACACUUUUGCAAAAUAUCAUAUUUUUCUUUUUUUUCCCAUCAGUAGUCUUUGUGGAAAUUGGGUUAGACUUUGGUGGAAUAUUGAUGGAGUUCUAACAAGUCUUGUGGUAAUUUAUUGAGAAGUUUGUAAAACAGACUAAUCAAUUACUUGGAAUGAUCUUCACAAAAUUAUUCAAAACAUACUAACUAAUUAAGCAGGAAAACACAUAUCAAACAAAAUUUUAAAUAAAAUUCCACACGGUAUUGGAAAUUUGUCACAAAAUUCUGCAGAAAUAUUUUCUACCGUGAGUGUUACGUAACGAGACCAAUUAAUUCACAUCAUCUUGCAUAACACACGCUGCAGAGAUAUAUAGUCGAUGACCUUGAAAUGAAUAACAACAUCUAGAGAAAAUGAGGACAUAGGGAGUAUUAUUUUGUUAAGUCUUCUUCGUGCUCUGAAAAGUCUUGUGGAACACUAUAAAAUAAUGUGUAACACGUUGUUAGAAGUGACUAGUACUCAUUCAUGGACCACAAAUGACUGAAAAUUGACUUAACACUUGGGACAACUUUUUAGUAACCACAAAUUAUUACCCCAUUUUAUUUGUCUGGAUGUGUUUCUUUUCUUCGUUAAUUUAUAAUUGAUAGUCCCGUGCAUAAACAAGUCAACAACGCUGCUUUAUGAAUUACUGUUUAGUUAAUUGUUCACUUUAUUUAAUGUGGAGGUCGUUGUAAUAAUUAAGAAUUGGAAUAGUGUUUGGUUAAUUAUAGUGCAUCCUUUCUUAUGUGGCUACUUAUUUUAUUGACUUAUACAUGUCUUGACAAUUAUCAUGAACCCACAUCAUUAUUUUUACGUUUACCUUUUUUAUUCUUUCAUUAUUAAAUAUUCUAAAGUCUACCAAAUGGUAAAACCUUUUACAUUAUACAAAAUAUAUUGUUGGGUGUUAAUAAAAAGAUCAAUUUGUUUUUUGGUGUAUUCUUUAAAUUACAAGCACUACAACAAAAACAACUUUUAGCGGCAAUAAAUAUACACAUUAAUAAAGAGUGUUAAAGUUUUUACCAGCAUUGGUUAAGUAUCAUUAGAUUCAAUGUCGCUAAAAACUUUAGAGACAUACACAAAGAGGGUUAAUUGCCACUAAAAAUACAUUAUAUCAUUAUAUCAAAUUCAACACAACUAUUUCAAUAUCAUUAUAUAAACUUCUUAAAGUUUUGAGUAGGAUUUUAUUAUUCUAACUUUAUAUUAUAUCUUUUCAUUGAAAAUUUUCGUUGUUUGUAUUCUUACUUAAUAAAGGUUUGUGUACCUCCUACUUCCUUGAAACUCUACGCAGUAUGUUAUAAGUAUUUUAAUUUAUGUAUGACAACUAAAAAAAUAAUUAGAGGGCCUUGCCUGUAUGUUUUCAUAGAAUUUUGAUUAUUCUUACAAAUCUAUAAAAAAAUUACAAAGGACACUUAGAAAGUAGUAUAUAUAUGUGUGGAUAAUACUGAUUGAUUUGUAAGAACACAUCCAUCCUGUUAUUUGCUGAAAACAAACAAACAAAAAAUGGUGACUCUGUUUUUCUUUUAUUCAUUUCAGUGUUUUGUGUUGCUAAUAAGUGAAUGUUUUUCUUCAUCCUUUGAUCAUCGUCUUUGCUCUCCCACUGAAGCUUCUGCUUUGCUUCAGUUCAAACAAUCCUUUCAAAAUAUGUCCAGAGAGUCCUGUAAUUAUUCGUGUCAUGGAGAUUGUUUCCCAAUAACAAAGUCUUGGAAUGAGAGUAGGGAUUGCUGCACUUGGGAUGGAGUCACUUGUGACAUGUUAAACGGUCAUGUUAUCGCCCUGGACCUUAGUUGCAGUCAGCUUGUUGGCAAUUUUCAUCCCAACAGCAGCCUCUUCCAACUUCAUCAUCUCCAGACACUAAACCUUGCUUACAAUGACUUCAAUUGGUCUUCAAUCCCACAUAACAUUGGCCGAUUGACGAAUUUGAGGCAUCUCAACCUUUCAUGGUCUCACUUUAGUGGAAAAAUCCCAACAGAAAUCUCAUACCUUUACAAUUUGGUUUCACUUGAUCUUUCUGUGAUUGGAUUCCAACUUGAUGAGACAACAUUUGUAACAAUGCUUCACAACUUCACAAAUCUGGAGGUACUUUCUCUUUAUGGUGUCAACAUCUCAUCUCCGCUACCUGUGAACAUUUCUUCCUCCUUAAGGUACGUGGAUCUUGAAUAUACUAAUCUGCUAGGUGUUCUCACAGAGAGCUUUUUCCUUCUGCCAAACAGCUUGGAAACGCUCAAAUUGAGUGGGAAUGAUCUUCUCAAAGGAGUUUUUCCAAAGAUCCACCCGAGCAACACUCUGUUAAUGGAGUUGGAUAUUUCAUCCACAGGCAUCUCUGGUGAGCUGCCUCAUUCAAUUGGCACCUUCAGUUCCUUGAAUAUCUUGAACCUCGAACAAUGUCAAUUCUCUGGUUCCAUUCCUGAUUCCAUAGGCAACCUAACACAAAUUACGGAGUUGAUUUACUUGGGAAUCAGUAGUCAUAGGCUACACUUUUGGACUAGUUGUUGGAACUGUCAUGUGGAGUCUCAUGUUUAAAUAUCGUAAGCCAAAAUGGUUUGUGGAAUUUUUUGAUGGACUCAUGCCUCACAAAAGAAGAAGGCCAAAGAGAAGAGCUCAAAGACGACGGACUUAAUGGAAGAUUGAGAGGGCAACCUUGUCUUUGUUUGAUUUUGUGGACUAAUUACUGAACUUUUCUGGUUCUGUUUUUGUCUUUUUAAUUUUCUGUUUGUUGUUUGUAUAUGUUUGAAAGAAACAUAAUUAUAUGUGAGUCAUUUAAUUAGUAUCAAUGGUUAUUCAAGUUAUGUUAGUUUGUUUCUGUUUCAAGUUGAUAGAAGUGAUCUACACAGCCGCUCAUUAGCUAUGUUACUCAAACUCUUCAAAAUGUCAACGGGUACGUGUUGAAUUCUUCAAAAGUAGUACAAUUUUAAGGAACCAACAUUGGUGUCAUUAUAUUUUAGGAGAGUCGGAGCAACAUAACUCAUCAGCAUAACAAAACAGGAAAAAGCAAAGCAGUAAGCAAAUUGAUCAGUUUGGUUUAUGAUUGAAAUCACUUGAUAUUAGAAAGUUUAUAUUUUUGAAAAUUAAUGUAGAAGAGUAAUCAAAACUACAGAAUUGGCUAAUAAUUUUGUGGUUCUGCAUCUUUCUAAUCAUAAAUCAGCCAUAAAAUAUUCUCUAGCUCAGUUUCAACUUCCGCGAUUUUAAUUUUAGUAAGUUUUUACAUAUAUUUAUACUUCGUGGACGAAAGUUAUCUCUGGUUGUUCAACAACUAAUUCAUAUUGUUUGAUUAUCAAUGAAGGAAAGGUUUUUUUAAAGGGCAAAACGCUCUAUACGAGGAUUUUUUAUUAUUUUUCAAGUUUGAAUUCAAGACCUGUGAUUCAGUUUCAUCCGGAACUUUACUGUCUACAAAACUACAUGUCAAAGUUAUUUUUGAUGAACUAAAAUAGACUUAUUCCCAAAAUUUAAUUUAACGCAAAAAGAAAUAUAAUCAAAUUAUUUAAAAAUUAAGAAAGACAAAUUAAAACCUUUACAUAAUUUGACACAUGGCAAAAUAUAAUUGGCUAAAAUUUUGGUCCCACAAAUAGUCAACUCACCUGUCAAAAAAUGACAUUCCUAUUUUCUUUUCCUAAUUUUAGUUUGGACACUUUGAAAACAAUUAAAGUAUCUUUGUCUGGUUAUGGCCGUUCAAAGCUUUGAUUAUAACAAGAAAGAUGAUUGAAAAUAUCGGUUUUCUUCCUUUUAAUUGGUUUGUUUUAUUAUUUUUUUGAAAUUUAAUUUAUUUAUCGUACUUUAUACUUAAAUUUGUCUCAAAAAGAAUAAUACGUUUCACAUAUAUAUAUAUAUAUAUAUUUAAGACUAUAACAUUAAAAGAUAUUUUGAUAUGUUUUUUAUAUAACUUUAAUUUAAUAUUAUAUCAUUGAAAAUUCUUCUUUACUUAUAUAUUUUUUUUAUUUUGAAUUUUUAUAUUUCAAUAUUCCACGUGACACGUUAAAAAGUCACUUUAGUAGUAUAAGAUUCAAAAGAUUUUUUUUUCACUUUGUUAAACUUAUAUCAAGUCGAUAGAAACUAGACAAACAAAUUAAAACGAAGUCACACUUUUCAAUACAUAUUCCAACUUUCAUUGAGUCUGAAGAUAUACUUUCUGAUUUAUUUAUUUUCAAGAAUUUACCUGUUGGAAGAACCCCACCAGAAGAAAACUCCAAAAAACAGACUAAAAAUCCCAACUUUGAGUUUUUCUUUCAACAAUUAUAAGUUUCAGUGAAAAUCUCAAGAUGUAAUUUUUUUCAAGAAUUCAUCUUUUAGGAAAACCCCAUAAGAAGAAAACUCCAAAAACAGAUUCAAAAUCUCACCUUUUUUUUAGAUCUUUUCAACAUUUUUCAGUUUAUUAGCUUACAAAAAUCACUGAACAAGGAAGAAGGGAUUCAAGAAAAAGUGGAAUAAAAAUGUCAUUUGUUUUAGGGGUUGUGUUUGGAAUAGCAUUUGGACUUGCUAUAAUAGUUGCUUUUGUGAAAUCUGAAAAUGCUAGAUCCAAACAACGUACUGAUCUGGUUAGUCAACUAAAGUCUUUGUUUUUUUUGGAUCUUUAUUUUUUUCCAUUUCUGGGUUUUUUUUUUGUAUUUAUGUUGUUUUUUUGGUUGAAUUGUAAAGGCUAGUGGAAUUGCUGCAUUUGCUAGAAUGACAGUGGAAGAUUCAAGAAAAAUCUUUACACCAGAACAAUACCCUUCUUGGGUUGUUUUCUCAAAUCAACAAAAGGUGAAGUCGUUUAACUUUUCUUUAAGAUGUAUUUGGUAGGACGCAGAGGCGGAGUCAGAAUUUUUAGUUUAUAUGGGUUCUAGACCACUGUUCUUUUUGUUUUGUUGGGUUUCUGAAAGCUAUGUUGCUCGGACUCUCAGAAAAUGUUGUUUGUACCCAUUCUGGAUUCUCUAAAGUUGCACUAGUUUGGAGUAUACGACACUAACCAUCAACCGUAACCAUUUUUGAAGAGUCCGAACAACAUUGACUGAAAAGACUAUUUUUACAUCUUAUAACAUUAAUAUAGGGUUAAACCAAAGCUACUGGAUUUUGAUGUACUUGUAGCUAAAGCAAUGUCAUUUAUCAUAAAUCUGUAAACUGACUUAUUUUCUAGAAAAUGUUUUUCGUAAUGGAUUUUUUUUUCUGGGAAAAGACAUUUAAUCGGAUAGUGUUUGGUGAAAAUAUUUGAGUAGUAAAGAUUGAUAAUAAUGUUUAUAUGUUGAGAUAAUUGUUUGCUCCUUUUUGGUGGAAAAUGUUUUCGCAAAACAUAUGUUCUAGCAGCCAAAAUCAGAAAAAAGAGAUUACAAACACACCGUUGAUGUCCUUAUCUGUUUUUGGAGCACAUAGUGACCAUAUAAGAUCAUUGAGAUUAAAUUCAUGCAUUAUGGUUCAAAUUGUGGUCUUUGGUUGCAAGACUGUCCCUUUAUGGACUUUGUUUAAUUUCUAUCUAGAAUACAUCUUGUGAUUUAGUUUGUUGAGGGCAAAAAAUGACCUUUUGAAUUUUUCAAUUUUGUUCUUACAGUUGGCAUGGCCAGAUGUUGUGAUUUAGUCAACUAAAGUUUUUGUUUUUUCUUACUUCAAUUUUUUUGGAUUUUUAGUUUUUUCCAUUUUUGGGGUUUUCUGUAUUUAUGUUGUUUUUUUGGUUGAAUUGUUAAGGCUAGUGGAAUUGCUGCAUUUGCUAGAAGGACAGUGGAAGAUUCAAGAAAAAUCUUCACACCAGAACAAAUACCCUUCUUGGGUUGUUUUCUCAAAUCAGCAAAAGAUGAAGUCUUUAACUUUUCUUUAGGAUGUAUUUGGUAGGACGUAGUGGCUGAGUCAGAAUUUUUAGUUUAUAUGGGUUCUAGACCAUUGGUUCUUUUUUGCUUUGUUGGGUUUCUGAAAAUUAUGUUGUUCGGACUCUCAAAAAAUGUUGUUUGUACCCGUGUCGGAUUCUCUAAAGUUGCACUAGUUUGGAGUAUACGCCAGUAACCCAUCACCCAUCACCAUUUUUGAAGAGUCCGAGCAACAUUGACUGAAAAGACUAUUUAUACAUCUUAACAUUAAUAUAGGGUUAAACCAAAGCUACUGGAUUUUGCCGUACUUGUAGCUAAAGCAAUGUCAUUUAUCAUAAAUCUGUAAAAUGACUUAUUUUCUGGAAAAUGUUUUUCGUGAUGGAUUUUUUUCUGGGAAAAGACAUUUAUUGUAGAUUGAAUCAGCAAAUUGGAUAGUGUUUUGGUGAAAAAUAUGUGAGUAGUAAAGAUUGAUAAUAAUGUCUAUAUGUUGAGAUAAUUGUUGUUCCUUUUUGAUGGAAAAUAAGAUUUUACCAAACACACUGUUGAUGUCCUUUACUGUUUUUGAGCACAUAGUGACCAUAUAAGAUCAUUGAGAUUAAAUUAGUGCAUUAUGGUUCAAAUUGUGGUCUUUGGUUGCAAGACUGUCCCUUUAUGGACUUUGUUUAAUUUCUAUCUAGAAUACAUCUUGUGAUUUAGUUUGUUGAGGGCAAAAAAUGACCUUUUGAAUUUUUCAAUUUUGUUCUUACAGUUGGCAUGGCUUAAUUCUCAUCUUGAAUAGAUCUGGCCAUAUGUGGAUGAGGUUAGGGGUUCAAUGUCUAUACAUAGUUUAGUUUUCCACUCUAUUGCGAUUCUGCAAUUUUUCAUUUCCCCCUUUUUUUGGUUCUAAUUUAUGAUUGUUUGAACUUCUUUGUUGCUAAUUGAGUCGGUAUGGGUAUAUAUGGUAAUUCAGGCAGCAUCAGAACUAGUAAAGUCAAGUGUGGAGCCAGUUUUGGAACAAUAUAGGCCUGUGAUUUUGGCGUCGUUAAAAUUUUCAAAGUUCACUCUUGAUACAGUUGCUCCACAAUUCACAGGUUAGUAGAUUAUGGCUGGUGUAACCUGCCUCAAAGCUCUUGUAUAUUGUACUACCUAAAAGUUUUAGGAGUCACUUAUACAUAUGAACAAACUUAUCAGUCCUCUAGGUCUUUAUGGCAUGCUUAUGUCUGGAGUAGCGUAACAUUUCCCUGCACGGACACCACCACCAUCAAAAAAAAAAAACGGCAUAACAUUUUCUUGCCAUUUAUAGCCUCUUGAGAUGUCAAAAUGUGACAAAUAAUUUGAGACAGGCAAGGGUAUAAAAGAUAUUCAAACCUCAAAGAGCAAUCCUAUCAUCUCGUGUCAGUUAAUCCUUAAUAAAAGAAACUGCUUGUGAGGAUGAAUCUCACUACAUUUAACAAAUGCUUGAUCUCAUGUAUAUGCCACUGCAGGGAUUUCUAUUAUUGAAGAUGGAAGUGAGGGUAUUACUAUGGAAUUAGAGAUGCAAUGGGAUGGUACCAUACCAUCUUGGGUGUUUAGCCUACCUUUGCUAUCUUCAGUGUCGCUCCAACAUAACCGAUUCAGAGGUCUAGCUGAUGAAGUGAUCAAAACCGCUCCAACAUAACCGAUUCGGAGGACUAGCCGAUGAAGUGAUCAAAACAAACCCAACAUUAAAACAACUGCAUUUAAGCAAUAAUCAACUCAGUGGUUCUUUUCCUCAAUCACUUGUGAAUCUCACAAACCUUAAAACCCUUGGACUUUCAUCAAAUAACAUCACCAUUGAUGAGGGAAUGAAUAUCACCUUUCUUAGCCCAUCAUCUUUAUUCUUAUCAUCUUGUCAACUGAAGGAUUUUCCACACUUCUUGAGAAAUGUAAAGACACUUGUGUACUUGGAUAUUUCUAACAAUAUGAUUCGUGGUCAAAUUUCUGACUGGUUUAGCGGCAUGAGGUGGGACAACUUGUGGUACCUAAAUAUUUCACAUAAUCUUUUGACAGGUUACCUACCACAAUUGCAUUUCCAUAAUCUAGGGUAUCUUGAUCUGAAAUUUAACUCCCUUCUGGGUCCACUACCCUCAUCCAUUUGUAACAUGAGUUCGCUUAUCUUAUUAGAUUUAUCACGCAACAACUUCAGUAACUACAGUUUCGUAUGAGGAUUCAUUGAGUUUGGUAAUCAAAGGGCAGGAUAUUGAGCUACAAAGAAUCAACACAAUUAUGACAACCAUAGAUCUCUCAAGCAAUCAUUUUGAAGGUGUGAUUCCGAAAACACUAAAGGAUCUCAGCUCACUUUGGCUACUCAAUUUAUCCCAUAACAAUCUCAUAGGUCAUAUUCCAAUGGAACUAGGGCAAUUGAAUACGCUUGAAGCUUUAGAUCUCUCUUGGAAUUGGCUCACUGGAAAUAUUCUGCAGGAACUGACAAGAAUGAACUUUCUGGCCUUCUUAAACGUCUCUCAAAAUCAUCUUGUCGGACCAAUUCCUCACGGUCUACAGUUCAACACAUUCGAAAAUUAUUCGUAUGGCGGAAACCUUGAUUUAUGUGGUCUUCCUUUAUCAAAGCAAUGUGGAACGAGUGAUUCAUCACAUGUUCCUCAACCAUUGGAGUCCGCAGAAGAAGGCGAGUCAUAUUUUUUUAGUGGAUUUUCUUGGGAAUUAGUAGUAAUAGGCUACAGUUUUGGACUUGUCGUUGGAACUGUCAUGUGGAGCCUCAUGUUUAAAUAUCGUAAGUCAAAGUGGUUUGUGGAAUUUUUUGAUGGACUCAUGCCUCACAAAAGAAGAAGGCCAAAGAAGAGAGCUCAGAGACGAAGGACUUAAUGGAAGCUUGAGAGGGCUAAAUUGUCUUUGUUUGAUUUUGUGGACUAGUGAACUGUUCUGUUUUUGUCUUUUUUUAAUUUUCUAUUUGUUGUUUGUAUAUGUUAGAAACAUAAUUAUAUGUGUGUUAUUGUAGUAUUCAAUUUAUGUUAGUUUGUUUCUGUUUCAAAUUGACAGAAGUGAUCUACACAGCAACUCUAGCUAUGUUACUUAGAUUUUUCAAAAAUGUCAACGGGUACGUGUUGGAUUCUUCAAAAGUUGUGUAUUUAUUAAGGAACCAACAUGAGCAGUGGCGGAUCCAGGAUUUUCAUUAAGGGGUUCGAAAAAAAGAGAGCAGUGCUUAAGAUUUGAGGUUUGAACCCCUCAACCACUAAACUAACCUCUAAUCUUAUAUUCAGGAGGUUCAAAAUCAAUAUAUAAACAUAAAAAUUCUUUAAAAUACCUUAAAUAUACAACAUAAUUUUUUGCCGAGGGAGUUGGUCCACCCCUGAACAUGGGUGCGACAUCAUCAUAUUUUAGGAGAGUCCGAGCAACAUAGCUCAUUAAUACAACAAAAUUGGAUAAAGCAGUGCAGUAAGCAUAUAGAGUUUGGUUCAUGAUUGAAAUUAGUUGAUAUUAGAAAGUUUAUAUUUGUGAAAAUUGAUGUAGAAGAAUGCUCAAAACUACAGAAGUGGCUAAUAAUUUUGUGGUACUUCAUCUUUCUAGUCAUAAAACAUCCUUAAAAUGUUCUCUAACUCAGUUUCAACUUCUGCAAUUUUUAUUUUGGUAGAUUUUUACAUAUAUUUAUACUUCAUGACGAGUGUUAUGUCUCACGUGAUCCAACAACUAAUUCAUACUGCUUGAUUAUGAAUGAGGAAAUUUUUUUGUUUUUGGGAAAAAUGCUCUCUGGAAUCGGCUCACUGGAAAGAUUCCAAGGGAACUGACAAGACUAAAAUUCCUGGCAGUCUAAAAACUCUGUCUGAAUGUUCUUUUUAGACCGAUUGCAUGCUCCUCGUCCAUUGGAGUCCGAAGAAGAAGAAGAAGAAGAGAGUCGUAUUUUGCUAGUUGUGGAUUAAUUGUUGUAACUGUCAUGUGGCACCUCAUGUUUAAAGAUGGUAAGCUGAACAUGUGAUCCUUCAAUACAAUUAGUCUCUCAGUUUUUUUUGCUUGAGUAUCAUUUUUUUUAUCUUCUUAAUUUGAUCACUAUACCUUUAUCUUGAGUCGAGGGUCUACAGAAACAACAUCUCCACUACUUUGGUUAUUUUCCAUCUCUUCAUAUUUGAACUGUAUCAUAUAGAUGGAAUUUCCCUCAUUAACUUAAUGUUAAAAAUCUUUUGGAAAACAGCACAAGAGACAACUAAUCGGAAAUUUCUCUACAGGUGGAAGGAUCUUCACCAAGUUAUUCAGAACAUACUAAUUAAGCAGGAAAACACAGAUCAAACAAAAUUUUGUAUAAAAUUCCACAAGGAGGAAAUGAAGGACUUAAAUCAUGUCUUUAAUUAUUGUUCAUUUUUUUCCUCACUUGACUUAGUCAAGCAAUAGUUUCUACCAUUUGAAAUUUCUAAGAAGUUCUGCAGAAAUUUUUUCUACAUAAUGGGACCAAUUUCACAUUAUCUUGCGUAACACACUGCAGAGAUAGUUAAUGACUUUGAAAUGAACACAACAUCAAGAGAAAAAUAGGACAUAGAGAGUAUUAUUUUGUUAAGUCUUCUCCGUCCUCUAAAAAGUCUUGUGGAACACUACAAAAUAUGAGUAUCAAGUUGUUAGAAGUGAGUAGUACUCAUCUUGUAAUUCAAUUGUUCAUCAGUCCCGAUUCAUCAUAAUCUUUUUUUUUCCUCUAGUCUUUGUGGAAAUUGGCUUAAAGUCUUACAAGUCAUCGUCCGCUAGUUACAAUACUGUAUCACUUUUUUCCUUAGUUGGAAUGGAAUAUUGAUGGAUUUUCCCUUAUUUACUUAAUGUGAAAAUUAUUGUGUACCUAACAAGUUUGAAAAUAGCAGAAGAGACAACUAAUCACUCACUCGGAUUGACCUUUUCUGAUUGUAUAGAUUUCAUGGAAAAAUUGCACCAAAAUUUAUUUAAUCCUCAAUUGACUUGGUCAUGCAACAGUUUCUCUUUGAAAAGUAUUGUGGAAAACAGAAGAGAUGUUGAUGGAAAGUUGGACAAGGUUGACAUAAAACAGGAGUUCAAAUAACUAUAAAAUAUGUAUGGAUUUUGAAAAAACAGAACAUUCUGUAAUAUGCUGUAAACAAAAAGUAAUUCCCGUGACCAGUUCAGUUCAAGGUUGGUCACGGGAGGGUUGAAUAAAAAUCACUUGAAAGUUGUUAAGGGGGUAUUUAAAUGUUCAUGUAGUUUAAGUCCUAAAGUAAAUUUGGCUAUCAAGUUUGAGGGUGAUUUUAGGAUUUUUCUCAAAAGUUAGCAGUCAAAUUGAAAAAAGUGUUCAAAUUGGGAAAAUAUGUAAAAAUUGUUAUUUUCCAUCUCUUCCUAUUUGAACUGUAUCAUAUAGAUGGAAUUUCCCUCAUUAACUUAAUGUGAAAAGUCUUCAGCACAAGAGACAACUAAUCGGAAAUUUCUCAUAAAAUUUCUCUGCAGGUGGAAUGAUCUUCACCAAGUUAUUCAAAACAUACUAAGCAAGCAGGAAAUGAAGGACUUAAAUCAUGUCUUUAAUUAUUGUUCAGUUUUUUCCUCACUUGACUUAGUCAAGCAAUAGUUUCUACCAUUUGAAAUUUCUAAGAAGUUCUGCAGAAAUUUUUUCUACAUAAUAGGACCAAUUUCACAUCAUCUUGUGUAACACACACUAUAGAGAUAGUUAAUGACUUCGAAAUGAACACAACAUCUAGAGAAAAUGAGGACAUAUGGAGUAUUAUUUUGUUAAGUCUUCUCCGUCCUCUAACAAGUCUUGUGGAACACUACAAAAUAUGAGUAACAAGUUGUUAGAAGUGACUAGUACUCAUUUUUGAUUCAAUUGUUCAUCAGUCCCGAUUCAUCAUAAUCUUUUCCCCCCCUCUAGUCUUUGAGGAAAUUAUCUUAAAGGCUUACAAGUCAUCGUCUGCUAGUUACAGUACCGUAUCCCUUUUUUCCUUAGGUGGAAUGGAAUAUUGAUGGAUUGUCCCUUAUUAACUUAAUGUGAAAAUUAUUGUGUACCUAACAAGUUUGAAAAUAGCAGAAGAGACAACUAAUCACUGACUCGGAAUAUUGACCUUUUAUGAUUGUAUAAAUUCCAUGGAAAAAUUGCAUAAAAAAUUAUUGCAUUCUUUGUGGAAAUUGUCUUAUUAAAGACUUUGGCUUCAAAGAACAAAAUAAAAUUCCACACGGUAUUAUUGUUUUGUUGUUACAUACUCUUAAGUUGAUGUCUUUAAUUAUUCUUCAUUUUUUUUCCUCACUUCAUGACUUAGUCAAGCAAUAGUUUCUCUCAUUGGAAAUUUUUCACAACUUAUGCAGAAAUAUUUUCUACUGUGAGUGUUACGUAACUUGACCAAUUUCACAUCAUCUUGCGUAACACACACCGUAGAGAUAGUCGAUCGAUGAUCUCGAAAUGAACAACAACAUCUAGGGAAAAUGAUGUGUACCAAGUCGUUAGAAGUGACUAGUACUCAUUCAUGGACCAUAUGUGACUGAAAAUUGACUUUACACUUGGGACAACAUUUUUUGCAACCACAAAUUAUUACCCCAUUUAUUUAAUUAUCUAUGUGUUUCUUUUCUUUCGUUAAUUUAUACCUCAAUAGUCCCAUGCAUAGACAAGUCAACAACGUUACUUUAUGAAAUAUUGUUUAGUUAAUUGUUUACUUUAUUUAAUGUGGAGGUUGUUGUAAUAAUUAAGAAAUGGAAUAGUGUUUAGUUACUUAUAGCAUCCUUUCCUACAUGGCUACUUAUUUUAUUGACUUAUUUAUAUCUUGGCAAUUAUCAUGAAUUUUGAUAAUGCAUGUUUUCAUUGAACACGGGUGCAACUUAGAAAGUAGUAUAUAUAUGUGUGGAUAAUACUGAUUGAUUUGUAAGAAGAACACAUCCAUCCUGUUAUUUGCUGAAAACAAACAAACAAAAAAUGGUCAUGAGUCUGUUUUUCUUUCAUUCAUUUCUGUAUUUUGUGUUGCUAAUAAGUAUGUUUUUCUUCUUCCUUUGAUCAUCAUCUUUGCUCUCCCACCGAAGCUUCUGCUUUGCUUCAGUUUAAGCAAUCUUUUGGAGUUGAUUACAACUACUCCAAAUGUUUUACUUCUUUCCCAAAAAGAAAGUCUUGGAAUGAGAGUAGGGAUUGCUGCAGUUGGGAUGGAGUCACUUGUGACUUAUUAAACGGUCAUGUUAUCGGGUUAGACCUUAGUUGUAGUCUGCUUAGUGGAAGUAUUCAUCCCAAUAGCACCCUCUUCCAACUUCAUCAUCUCCAGGCACUAAACCUUGCUUACAAUCACUUCAGCUAUUCUUCAAUCCCACAUAACAUUGGCCGAUUGACAAAUUUGGUUUCGCUUGAUCUUUCUUCUGAUUUUUAUGGACUACAACUUGAUGAGAGAACAUUUGAAACAAUGCUUCAAAACUUGACAAAUCUGGAAGUACUAUCUCUCUUUCUUGUCAACAUCUCAUCUCCGAUGCCUGUGAAUAUUUCUUCCUCUUUAAGGUACCUGGAUCUUCGUUAUACUAAUCUGCGAGGUGUUCUAACAGAGAGCUUUUUCCUUCUGCCAAACAGCUUGGAAACGCUCAAACUGAGUGGGAAUGAUCUUCUCAAAGGAGUUUUUCCAAAGAUCCACCGGAGCAACACUCUGUUAAUGGAGUUGGAUAUUUCAUACACAGGCAUCUCUGGUGAGCUGCCUCAUUCAAUUGGCACCUUUAGUUCAUUGAAAUACUUAAACCUCCAAGGAUGCCAAUUCUCUGGUUCCAUUCCUAAUUCCAUUGACAACCUAACCCAAAUUACGGAGUUGAUUUUAUCUUAUAAUCAUUUCACUGGACAUAUUCCUUCCACAAUCUCUAAAUUGAAGUACCUCACAAAUUUACAUCUUUCUGACAACUCCUUUUCAGGUGAAAUUCCUGAUGUUUUUUCUAAUCUCAAAGAGCUACGUUAUUUAGAUCUUUUUAAUAACAGCUUCAUCGGUCCAUUUCCUGCUUCAAUUUUAAGUUUGACACAUCUUGAAUACUUAGGAUUGUCGAGUAAUUCCCUAUCUGGCCCACUGCCUAGCAAAGCAAGCAUGCUUCAAAAGCUAUCCGAACUGCAUUUGUCUUACAACUCGCUGAAUGGUACCAUACCAUCUUGGGUGUUUAACCUCCCUUUGCUAUCUUCGUCGUGGCUCAAUCAUAAUCAAUUUAGUGGACUAGCCGAUGAGAUCAAAACAAACCCAACAUUAGAAUUCCUGUAUUUAAAUAAUAAUCAACUCAGCGGUUCUUUUCCUCAAUCACUUGUGAAUCUCACAAACCUUUCUACCCUUGACCUUUCAUCAAAUAACAUCACUAUUGAUGAGGGAAUGAAUAUCACCUUUCCUAGCCUUGAAAUUUUGCAGUUAUCAUCUUGUGAACUGAAGGAUUUUCCACACUUGUUGAGAAAUGUAAAGACACUUCAGGUCUUGGAUAUUUCUAACAAUAAGAUUUGUGGUCAAAUCCCUAACUGGUUUAGCGGCAUGAGGAUGGGACUCGUUGCAGCUAUUAAACCUUUCUCAUAAUUCAUUAACAGGCCACCUACCACAAUUUCAUUUCCAUAAUCUAGUGUCUCUUGAUCUGAAAUUUAACUCCCUUCAGGGUCCACUACCUUCAUCCAUUUGUAACAUGAGCAGACUUUUCUUAUUAGAUUUAUCACAUAACUACUUCAGUGACUCAGUUGCACAUUGCUUGGGAAGCAUGGCUAGUCUAACCGUGCUAGACUUGAGAAGGAACAAUUUCAUAGGGAAUCUUCCCCCAUUAUGUGCACAGGGCACUUCAUUGAGUACCAUUGUCGUAAAUGGUAAUCGAUUUGAAGGACCUGUACCUGUGUCGUUGCUCAAGUGUAAUGUUCUAGAAGUCCUUGAUGUGAGGAACAAUGCUAUAAAUGACACAUUUCCAGCUUGGCUCGGAACUCUUCAAGAGCUGCAGGUCCUUAUAUUAACGUCGAACAAGUUCCAUGGACCUAUAAGUACUUGUCAGACUAAGCUUUGCUUUCCCAACUUGCAAAUUUUUUAUCUUUCUCGUAAUGAUUUCAGUGGCUCACUUCCUGCAAAAGUUUUUGGAAACUUCAAGGCAAUGAUCAAAUUAGAUGACGAAGACACAAGAGAGAUCAAGUACAUGGAAUCUAAGUCAAAUUUGUCAUUUGACACAUCUUAUGAGGAUUCAGUGAGUUUGGUAAUCAAAGGGCACGAUAUUGAGCUACAAAGAAUCAGCACAAUUACGACAACCAUAGAUCUCUCAAGCAACCAUUUUGAAGGUGUCAUUCCGGAAACACUAAAGGAUCUCAGCGCACUUUGGCUACUCAAUUUAUCCCACAACAAUCUCAUAGGUCAUAUUCCAAUGGAAUUGGGGCAAUUGAAUACACUUGAAGCUUUAGAUCUCUCCUGGAAUCGGCUCACUGGAAAGAUUCCGCAGGAAUUGACAAGAAUAAACUUUCUAGCAGUCUUAAACCUCUCCCAAAAUCAUCUCGUCGGACCAAUUCCUCAAGGUCCACAAUUCAACACAUUUGGAUAUGACUCAUAUGGUGGCAACCUUGAUUUAUGUGGUCUUCCUUUAUCAAAGCAAUGUGAAACAAGUGAUUCAUCACAUGUUCCUCAACAAGAAGAUGAAGGCGAGUCAUAUUUUUUUAGUGGAUUUACGUGGGAAUCAGUAGUCAUAGGCUACAGUUGUGGUCUAGUUGUUGGAACUUUUCAUGUGGAGUCUCAUGUUUAAAUAUCGUAAGCCAAAAUGGUUUGUGGAAUUUUUUGAUGGACUCAUGCCUCACAAAAGAAGAAGGCCAAAGAAGAGAGCUCAGAGAUGACGGACUUAAUGGAAGAUUGAGAGGGUAACCUUGUCUUUGUUUGAUUUUGUGGACUAAUUAGUGAACUUUUCUGGUUCUGUUUUUGUCUUUUCAAUUUUCUAUUUGUUGUUUGUAUAUGUUUGAUAGAAACAUAAUUAUAUGUGUGUUAUUCAAGUUAUGUUAGUUUGUUUCUGUUUCAAGUUGAUAGAAGUGAUUUACACAGCCACUCAUUAGUUAUGUUACUCAGACUCUUCAAAAAUGUCAACGACUACAUAUUGAAUUCUUCAAAAGUAGAGCAUUUUUUAUGAAACCAACACAAAUGCAACACCAUUUUAUUUUUAGGAGAGUCGGAGCAACAUAGCUCAUCAGCAUAACAAAAACAGGAAAUUGCACAAGCAAAUAGAUCAGUUUGGUUUAUGAUUGAAAUCACUUGAUAUUAGAAAGUUUAUAUUUUUGAAAAUUUAAGUAGAAGAGUACUCAAAACUACAUAAUUUGCUAAUAAUUUUGUGGUUCUGCAUCUUUAGAAUCAUAAAUCACUUAAAAUGUUCUCUAACUCAAUAUCAACUUCCGCAAAUUUAAUUUUAGUAAGUUUUUACAUAUAUUUAUACUUCGUGUACGAAAAAUAAUGUCUCUGGUUGUUCAACAACUAAUUCAUAUUGUUUGAUUAUCAAUGCGGAAAAGGUUUUUUUAAAAGGGCAAAAUGUUCUAUACAAGGAUUUUAGAAGUGACUAGUACUCAUUCAUGGACUACAAGUGACUUUGAGUCUUCCUGGAAAUUGACUUAACACUUAGGACAACCACAAAUUAUUUGUUUGGAUGUGUUUCUUUUCUUUCGCUAAUUUAUACCUCAAUAGUCCCAUGCAUAGACAAGUCAACAACGCUACUUUAUGAAAUACUGUUUGGUUAAUUGUUCACUAUAUUUUAAUGUGGAGGUCGUUGUAAUAAUUAAGAAAUGGAAUAGUGUUUGGUUAAUUAUAGCAUCCUUUCUUCCGUGACUACUUAUUUUAUUGACUUAUUUAUAUGUUGACAAUUAUCAUGAACCCAUAUUAUAUUAUUACUAGGUAAAUUACCCGUGCUUCGCACGGAAUUGAACUAUUUUAUUAAGCUUACAUAUGAUCAUUCGAUAAUAUUCAUAUUUUCGAUACAUACACUACAUUGUCAAGAUCAUUUUAUCUUAAGGCAAAACGUUCCUCCAAAAUCUUAAAGUGCUAUAUUUUUUUAAUUUUCAUUUUUGUUAUACAAAUAUUAUGAGUCAUAGAUAGAUUUUAAGUAUAAGAAAGAAGUCUAAGAAAAUCUCCUUGGAAAUAGUUGGUCAGAAGUAAUGGAAUAUUUUUAAUUCCAAGAAGUUAUAAAGAACAACAUCAGACGUUAAUAAAGAGACCAAAAAAGGUCGAACAACAACACUUCCAAGUAAAGUGGAGUAUCACGUCCAUACAAGAUCAUAAUUAACUAAAUUCAAAUGGACGACCAUGGACUCCUUUCUUAUGAACCUCCAUCAAUCUCUUUUUUAUUAUUGUAUGCCAUAUCAAGUAUAUGCUAAAAAUGACCCUAAAAUUGUUAUUAUCAUAAAUGUUUUUUUGUCAUUGUCUCAAAAUAGUCAUUACUAUUUUAAAGGUUUCAUAUCACCGGCCCCAACUUAUUUGGAUUAAACCAUAGUUAUUGUUAUGGUUAUAGUAUGCAGUUACAAAAAAAUUAAUGCAAUUAUCAGCCAAGCAAUAGGUGACAUCUGAAUGUUCACAACGGGAUAUUCUAAACAAAAAAUUUGACACAUAACAUAUUAAAAUCUCACAACAUAAUUUUGUGAGCACUUGAACUCACAAAUAUCCUAAAAUAAUAAUAAAGACAAUCUUACUUUCCUAACAAUCAAGAAGAAAAAGGCUCGUUGCUUAAUAUAUUUUUCAAAAAGAUAGUCUUUCGGGUUGUAUCCAAGUUCACAGUUCACAAAUUUAGUUGAAAGAAGCCAAAAGAAAGAGUUAUUACUUCUUUAUCAAAAAAAUUUAAAACUUUAUCAAAAGAAUGAGUUAUCACUACAACAAAAAUGAUCUUUAACGAUAAUUAAUAGCUUAAUUAUCGCUAAAUAUGUAUUUUCAGAGGCAAUUGGUACUCUGUAUAAAUGUUCCUAAAGUCUAUAGCAACAUUGAAUCCAAUGACAGUUAAUUCAUGUCGGUAAAGGCUGUAGCACUCUUCGUGAACGUGCAUAUUUAUUGCCGAUAAAAAAUAUUUUUGUUGUAGUGUAUUUUGGACAUUUGUUAGUUUUAAGAAAACUUGAUCUCUUAUUAUGCCCAAAAAGAAGAGAAGAGGAAAUAUGACAAAUUAGUUAACUUGCGAUAAAUGAUGUGGACUAAUUGUCUCUAUACAAAUUUUCUAGGAAUAGUGCAAUGGCAUACAAAAUGUUUGUACCUAAGAAAAAACAAUCAAAAUAAUAUACUAACUGUGGCAAACAAGAGAGAAAUCAUUUUGGUUCUUUUAACAAACUUCAUCAUUGGUUCCGUACUAGUUAUCAGAUUUUUGUUGUUGUGUGCUAUCAAAUAUAGCACAACCCACAAGCAAUUUUCCCAAAAAGUAUAUGAAGAAAAACUGUAGAAAGGGACAAAAGAGAAGAUAAACUUUCAAUCAUCCUCAUUGAAAUUUUGAACAUAAUUAAAAAAAAAGUCACCAAAAUAGCAAAAAGAAAUUGCAAUAGAUACAUGAAUCACUAUGAUUUAUAGUAAAAAAUUAAGCUUCAUGAAAUAGGAGGAAAAAAACUUUGAGAAAUGAAAUGCACUUUAUAAGAAACUUAAUUAAUGUAUUUGAUUUCGAAAAAAAAUACAAAUAAUAGUGGUAGAAAUAAAAGAUUUGUUUACUAAAGAACCAAAUGUAAUGAAUUCAGUCAUCAACCAUUUCAGCAGUGUUAUGAGUUGUGCACUGAGAGAUCCAAGAGCAGUAAUGUCGCAUUGCAAUUGAAAUCAAUUUUCUUUGUUUAUAUGAAGAAACCUGUAGAAAGUGACAAAAGAGAGGAUCAAUUUUCAAUCAUCCCUGCUGAAACUUUAACAGAGUUAAAAAAAAGGUCACCAAAAUAGGAAAAUGAAAUUGCCAUAGUUACAUGAAUCACCAUGACUUACAAUAAAGAUUAAGAUCCAUGAAAACUUUUAGGAAUGAAAAAAAUUCCUAAAAACUUAAUUAAUGUAUUUGAAUUUGACUACCCUAUAGAGGGAAAAAAACCUACAAAUUAUAGUGGCAGGAAAUUCCUCUAUUUAUAGACAACAUAGAGUAGUGUGAACAAAUUUUUAUUGUGCCUUAUCCGAGAUGUCACAACUCUUUGGAAAAGUUACAACCCUUCAGAAAGGUCACAACCUUUCAUAAAAGUCAUAAUUUUUCAUAAAAGUUGCAACUCUUCAUAAAAGUCACAACUUUUCAUAAAAGUCACAGCUUUUAAUGAAAAGGGAAGGCUAGUUUUGGAAAUAAAUAAAAUUUAAAAGGGAAUCCUAGUUUAUGGUGGCGCCACGUAGGCGGGCCUAGGGUUCUCUUUUAUAUAAAUUUUUGAUUUUUGAUAUAUGAUUUUUACGUUUACCUUUUUUAUUCUUCUUUCUAUUUUUAUUCUUUCAUUAUUAAAUAUUCUAAAGUCUAACCUUUUGCAUUAUACAAAAUAUAUUGUUGGGUGUUAAUAAAAAUAUCAAAUUUAUUUUUUGGUGUAUUCUUUAAAUUACAAGCACUACAACAAACACUACAAUAAAAACAACUUGUUGCGGUUUCUGAACCUUUCAUAUAAUUCAUUAACAGGCCACCUACCACAAUUUUAUUUCCAUAAUCUAGGGUAUCUUGAUCUUAAAUUUAACUCCCUUCAGGGGCCACUAUCUUCAUCCAUUUGAAACAUGAGCAUACUUAGACUUGGGGAAAUUGAAUGUGCUUGAAGCAAUGAUUAAAUUAGAUGACGGAGACAAAGGUGAGAUCAAAUAUAUGGAACAAUUGAGUGAAUAUUCAAUGUAUGAAGAUUCAGUGAGUUUGGUGAUCAAAGGCCAUGAUACUGAGCUAGAAAAAAUCAACACAAUUAUGACAACCAUAGAUCUCUCAAGCAACCAUUUUGAAGGUGUCAUUCCAAAAAUACUAAAGGAUCUUGGCUCACUUCGGUUACUCAAUUUAUCACGUAACAAUCUCAAAGGUGAUAUUCCAAUGGAACUGGGGCAAUUGAAUGUGCUUGAAGCAAUGGAUCUGUCCUGGAAUCGGCUCACUGGAAAUAUUCCUACUGAAUUGACAAGACUAAAAUUUCUAGCAGUCUUAAACCUCUCUCAGAAUGUUCUUGUCGGUCCAAUUCCUCAAGGUCUACAAUUCAACACAUUUGGAAAUGACUCGUAUGGUGGCAACCUUGAUUUAUGUGGUCUUCCUUUAUCAAAGAAAUGUGGAACGAGUGGUUCAUCACAUGUUCCUCAACCAUCGGAGUCGUAUUUCUUUAGUGGAUUUACGUGGGAAUCAAGGCUACAGUUGUGGACUAGUUGUUGGAACUGUCAUGUGGAGCCUCAUGUUUAAAUAUCGUAAUCCAAAAUGGUUUGUGGAAUUUUUUGAUAGACUCAUGCCUCACAAAAGAAGAAGGCCAAAGAAGAGAGCUCAGAGACGACGGAUUUAAUGGAAGAUUGAGAGGGCCAACUUGUCUUUGUUUGAUUUUGUGGACUAGUUAGUGAACUUUUCUGGUUCUGUUUUUGUCUUUCUGUUUGUUGUUUUGUAUAUGUUUGAAAGAAACAUAAUUAUUAUAUGUGUGGUAUUUUAGUAUCAAUGGUUAUUCAAGUUAAGUCUAUUUCUGUUUCAAGUUGACAGAAGUGAUCUACACAGCCACUCAUUAGCUAUGUUACUUAGACUCUUCAAAAAUGUCAAUGGGUACGUGUUGGAUUCUUCAAAAGUAAUGCAAUUUUUAAGGAAUCAACAUGGGUGUCAUUAUAUUUUAGGAUAGUCGAAGCAACAUAACUCAUCUUUCUUAACAUUUUCUGUUUCUGUAUUUAUUUCUUUUAAAGAUCAUUGCUUUGAUCUUAAUGGCUUUCAACCCAUAUUAGGAACACUUGAAAUGGCUGAACUCAUACACACAGAGGAUAGAAACUAUUCAGCUGUUGACUGAAGUGAUCCACUUAUUAGUACAACAAAACAGGAAAAGGCUACAUCCACCUCUGGGGCUCAUGUUGUUCUGUUUCUUCAAAUGCAAAACACUCUCUAUCAGGAUUUUCUUUAUUUUCAAGGUUCGAAUCCGAAACCCUUGGUUCAAUUUUACCUGGAACCAUGCAUUUAGCAUAACUAUAUGUCCUAUUGCAUUAUAGUUAUUAUACAAAGUGGAAAAGUUCAAGGGAUAAUAACACCAUCUCAAAAGUCGGGUGUGUAACUGAAAAUCUAAAUCAACUUUAGGGGUAUACUUAGGGCUGUUCAAAACUGAACCAUAACCGAUAAGUCAAUCGCAAAAUUGACUUAUUGGUAUUGGAUUAUCGGAUUAACGGUUGGUCAACGGAUUAAAAUUUUAUAGUUAAUGGUGCGGGGCGGAUUACUCAAUGGUGCGGGCCGGAUCACUCAAUUUCCUUCUAGGGUAAACCAUUAACCUUUUAAAAAUUAUCGUAGUUAGGAUAUUUAUUAAGUAAAUACUAAUGCGCUUGCACCCUCAAAAUUUAGUUCACAUGUGUUGUCACGCCCUGAGCCUACACCCUGGACGUGGCGGGCACUCGAAGACCAUUGCUGGUCCCAAGCGAACUGUUGGCCUAGUUUACUUGACUCAGCGGAAGACUUAAACUAAACAAAGAUAAGUUCAUAUAAUAAAUUGGAAUGUUAUAAAGGAACAUUCAACUGGACAUUAAGGCAAACUCAAGUCUGAACAUGGAGUAAUGACAAUGAAAAAACUAAAAACUAACAUCUGACUGUCUAUGAAGCCUCUAAUAACAACUGAGAUGGAUGUUGGGAUAGACCCCACAACAUCCUAAUAAACUAAACUGGAAAGCAAUGAAAUGGAUCCUCCGGAAAGCAAGGAGGCUCACCAACAGACUCUGGACUGCUCACUGGAUCAACGAUGCGUCAGGAUGCCGAUCCUAGUUACCUGUGUUUGCAUCAUAAUACGAUGCAGACCAACUGACAUCAGUACAUUGAGUGUACGAGUAUGCGAGUUGGAAUGCUAAAACAACAUAGACUAGAAAGAAUCUGAGAGAAACUGAAGAACUUACAUGACUCAACUCAACAUGACUGAACUCAUUUCAUUAUAAAUCAGUUUAAAAGCAAGUGCAAUAUAAAGAAAAGUUGUUUAAAAACAUGAUAUUAACUCUGUGUGUAUGCAAGAUACAAAUAACUCUGAGAUGUAUUUAAAAAUACAAUAAACUGAUGUAUAUAAAAAUACAAUAACUUCUGUGGGAGUUUCUCUAACCGACAACCACCACUUAUGAAACUAAGUGGUGAUACAACGUUUUACCUCACGUUACCCAAGGACCAUCNNNNNNNNNNNNNNNNNNNNNNNNNNNNNNNNNNNNNNNNNNNNNNNNNNNNNNNNNNNNNNNNNNNNNNNNNNNNNNNNNNNNNNNNNNNNNNNNNNNNNNNNNNNNNNNNNNNNNNNNNNNNNNNNNNNNNNNNNNNNNNNNNNNNNNNNNNNNNNNNNNNNNNNNNNNNNNNNNNNNNNNNNNNNNNNNNNNNNNNNNNNNNNNNNNNNNNNNNNNNNNNNNNNNNNNNNNNNNNNNNNNNNUUAUCCCGGGAUUAACUUACCUUAUCCCGGGAUUAACUUACCUUAUCCAUUACACCAAACGACCCCUAAGUCUUAAAACAAAGUUAAAAGCCUUUGCAAAAGACUUCUUGAAAAGACUCUAAGAAUUUCUUAGACUUGGCUCUUGACUUUCCUUGAAUUUAAAUUUAGGAAUUCAAGGUUAUGGUUUAUGUUUCUGGAUGAUUUCUAGACGUUUAGAAGUCAUUUAGAGUAGUUAGAAUCAAUGGAAAGUGUUAGUACACUUUAGAAGAACUUAAAUAGGCUAGACGACGGAAAACUGACGAAAAACGACGAUUUGGGCGCAUCCCGGGCGCGCUGCGCCAGCCCCAACUUACUGGGGCUCAAAUCUGGCGCACUGUUGGCGCGCUGCCCCAUCCCCUCGGGCGCAUCUGGGGCGCGUUGCGCCAGCCUCCCUUCAAGCAAAAUUCUAACGAACUUUUGCUCUCGUUUUCUGAUCCUAAAUCGUUUUAAUCUAAUUCUUUUUCUCAAUUUCACUUUAGAUUUAUGUACCCAAAUCAUAUACACAAGGAUCUAACUCAAGGAACUCAAGAACUAACAACUUAGUCAUCAAGAACUCCUAAAACUCAACUCAUGUUCAAGAACAAAAGUAAUUCAAGAACCACAUUCAAUAACAUUCAAAAUCCAAUCUUUUUGAAAUGAAAUCGCUGAAUCAAACAUGCUUGGCACGUGGGUAAACGAACCCAACAUUGAGAUAGACUCACAUACCUUAAUUGAUUGAAUCCUCGGCCAAAUUCGCAAGCAAUUCCUUACGACGACAACGAAUCUAGCUUUUUCCUCCUUUGUCUUUUCUUGCGUUCUUCCUCCAAAACCCUAGUUCUAUUUGGUAAAUGUCUAAACUGAUUUAAUUCAGCUUAGACCCCUAAUUAAUUACCAAAAAUGAAUUAAAAUAAAAGGGUAAGGAAAAGACCAAACUACCCUUUAAAAUCCGGAUUGGACAUUUCCUUAAUCCAACAACCCAACUUCCAAAGGGAAUAUCUCACUCAUAUGAACUCGUAAUCGUGCAAACUUGGCGGCGUUGGAAAGAUAAUUCCAAGAGCUUUACAAUUAUACCUGGAAGUACACCUAACUCAUCUUGAUCUAGGAGUUAUCUCCGUUUGAAGUUGGCCCAAAAAUCAACUUUUCUUAACUUAAACAAAUUUUCCAGAUUUUUGUUAUUUCCAAAAAAAAUGACUAUUUCAACUUCUUAGCUUCUUCCUAGUUAUUUCAAUUUGUGAGAUGUUACAUGUGUCUCACUGUGAUUUACAAUUACUGAAUUACCAGCUUAAGUAGGGCUAGAAAAAAAUGUUUUGUUUGAUGGGAGAUCAAUCUAAUUGUGAUUGAAAGUGAAAGAAGGGAGCACGGAAUGUUGGAGCCAAUACACCAACCGAUAACCAUCCAUUAAUUCCUAACCCGAUACCGAGUCAACCGAUAGCUUAUCCAUUGGCUAGCAGAUUAAUUUCUUUCUCGUGUUUGUAAUUUUAUCUUGUUUUAUUUUUUCUUUCACUUAGACUCCAUAUUUAUUUAUUAAGAAAUUAAUUAAAUAUAUAAUUAUGAAUUUGGUAAUUAGAAUGAGUUGUGAGAGUUAAACGAUAAAUUCAAAAUUUAUAGAAAUCAAAUUUUGGCUCCAUUUCUGAAAGGUGAGGUAAAGAUAGGGCUUGGAGUUUAUGAAAUCUAGAUUUUAGAAAAAGACCGCACCUUAAUAGGCUUUUGAUAGAUUAUUUGAAAAUUUUAAAUAUUAAUAUAUGAUUUGAGCUGAAGUUACUAAACACUUUUCGAACCCAAGCUAUACUUCUUUCUCAGGGUAUACCCUCCACAACUUCACUCUUAAUCAUAUAUUUUGACUUUGAAUCAUUCUAGUACUAGAAUAAGGAUAAUCAGCUAGGCAAUUAAGCAACACUUUCUGGCAUGGUGGUACAACUGCCAACAACUAGAAACAUUUUUCAUAUUUCUUAAAUUCAAUCAAUGUAGUAACUUGUAAACUUAAGUUUCAUAGUUAAGAUAUGGUAAAAAAAAUAAAAAUAAUAUCUCUUUUAUUGAGUAAGGUAUAAUCUACAGAAAUUUUUAUGGGCCUCAAAAAUGGGCUGCUCCUUUUAAACAUGGGAUGGGCUUCUCUUCUCUUAAUGGGCCUUAUGCUGCACGAGCCUGUAUUAGUUGGAGCUCCGAAACAGGAAUAGAACACCGGGUUAAGGAUUUGAAAAUUAUCUUUCCAAAUGACAUUCAAGCUAGGUGCUCUAAUAUAUUUUACUCGCUUUCCUUAACUUCCUUGAUUUAUCUUUAUCUAUACUGACAGUGUAAAACUUAUCACUUAUAAUAGUUAACACGUUAUUUUCCUGAUUUCAAAUUAUUAAUCUCAUGAAGUUUCACUUAUAGUUACUUUUAGAUGACUUGAUAGUGAAAAAAAAUAUUCUUUGAAACUUUGUUUCAAAUUGUCUAGCAUACAAUUAUCCCAGAACAAUGUAGGGGCGGAUCUAGUGAAGCAGCUACGAGUUCAUUCGAACCAAGUAGCUUUGCUUAAGACUCUUUAUAUAUGUUAAAAAAUGAAUUACAUAUUUUUCAACCUUUCAAAAUAAAUGGUACUUGUAUUGUUACCAUGUAGUACCUAAGUGUAAUGGUUACGCAUAAUUUGUAAAUUUUGUAAUGAAGGGUCUAUCGGAAACAACCUCUCUUCUCUACCUCCACAAGUUAUGAUAAGGUCUGCAUACACACUACCCUCCUCCUCAGACCGCACUUGUGGGAUUACAUUGAGUAUGUUGUUGUUUGUUCAUUUAGUUGUUGUGAAAAACUAUAAGAUAGUACCAUUUUUUGUUGUGUGUUACACAUGAUUCAGUCCUUAAGACAGCAAAGCUGGUCUUCUGUAGGAGAUAUUUGUCUCAAGUUCACAUUUGAUAUGUGUUACACAUGGUUCUAUAUAUGUGGAUAGGAAAAAUCUAUGUAGGAGAUAUUUGUCUUAAAUAACAUCACCAUUGAUGCUGGAAUACAAAUCACUUUCCCUAGCCUAGAAGUUUUGCAGUUUUCUUGUAAACUGAAGGAUUUUUCACACUUGUUGAGAAAUGUAAAGACAUUUGUGUACUUGGAUAUUUCUGCUCCCAAUUGCACACGCAAAUGUAUGUGGUCGCGGAAGAAAUAUAGUGACUCUUAACAGAAUCGGAUUAUAUAUCGAACCCAAAAGACUUGUCAAUUAACUAUUUUACUAAAUUAUACUGGUCUAAUUAUUUAUUUAAGAGUGCCAAAAGAAUUGACUUUUAUUUAAAUACUAAGAAUGCAAGAAUUAAAUAAUAAAAUUACUUACAAUGGUUGGAAAAUUUCAGGGCCGCAACAUGCAUAGGGUUCAUGUAUCACAUCUCAUGCAUGAAUUAACUACAGUUAUCAAAUUACUGAUUUACACGGUUGAUUUUAUGAUCGAUCAUGGUCUUCCGACCUCUAAUCGUCUACUCAAUUUAGUUGUUUAACUACAUCGUUGAGUGAGGAUAGACAGUCCUAAUUGACGAGCAUUUAUAUUUCCUCAUGUUUUGUGACCAAGCUAGGUGUUCGUCUGAGCGUCAUUCCUAAACACAAAUCAACUCAAUUUAAUGGAAGAUCAACCUUUUUGUAUCCAUUGGUCUAUCUACCUUAGUGUCUCCUGAUUUUAAGAGUAGACAAUAGAUUUAUCUCUAUGAUGGCCAGUCAAGAAAUACUAAAACAAGAAUACAAAAGUAAUUUAAGCGAUAAUCGAUGUUCAACACUUACACAUAGCUACAACCCUAGAACAAGGGCCUUUAACUACUAAUGUCUAAGAAAAUAUAUAGAAGCCUAAAAAGUAUUGACAACUUUAUAGUUAUACCUAUGAUUCAUCUCCCCCAAUAAUUAUUUCUAUGAACUAUUUAUAGAUAUAGAAAAUUCCAAAUAAAAUAACUGAGUCCAAAACAAAUCGGAAAAUCAAAACCAAACGGAAUUUGACUUCCACGUCAACAAUGGUCGUCCAACUGCCUCAAUUCUCUUUGCUGCCUUCAGAAUCAGCCACGUGGCAACUAAUGUAGGUAAACUUCAUUAAUUUCCUUUCUUUGUACGUUUGAAUGAAUAUUAAGUUGUCUGCUUGAUUUUCUUCUAUAAUCUUUCAUCUUUAAUUCGUUUUAGGUCCAAAUUUUUUCAUCUUCACACCAAUUUAAUCUUAUAAAUAAAAUACACUACUUAGCAUAAUUCAUAAAAUUCAUGCUAAAAAAGGACAAAUAUAUAUAAUAAAUGUAAGGUAAAUAAUGAUUAAAAUAUAUAUUUUUAGCCUCAUAUCAAUAAGAUUCGUGGUCAAAUCCCUAACUGGUUUAAUGGCAUGAGGUGGGGUUCGUAAACCUUUCACAUAAUUCAUUAACAGGCCACCUACCAAAAUUUCAUUACCAUAAUGUAGAGUAUCUUGAUCUUAAAUUUAACUCCCUUCGGGGUCCACUACCUUCAUCCAUAUGUAACCUAAUAUAUAUUCCUUUAACAAUCUGUACAUUGAAGCAACUCACACUUUUAGAUCUUUGGAGGAGAAAUUCCUGCAUUUGAAAGUUCGAUUUUUUUGUGUUUGCCGUAGCAGUGGACUUAUAGGCCUAUUCAUCCUUGUAAUGAAAAUUGAACAUGAAUGAAAAUAAAAACCAAAUGAAAGAAAAAAAAUAUGGAGUAUAUAUUAUUUUGUUAGGUCUUCUUCGUCCUCUAACAAACACUACAAAAUAUGAGUAAUAAGUUGUUAGAAGUGAGUAGUACUCAUCUAUGGACCACAAGUUGCGUACCAUUUAUGAUUGUAUAGAUUCCAUGGAAAAAUUGCAUAGAAAUUUAAUGCAUUUGUACAACUUGGUUUCCUCUAUUCCGAAUGUACAAUAAUUGUUCUCACAAUUGGUUCAAUGACGCGUUUUGACCUUUUAUGAUUAUAUAGAUUCCGUGGAAAAAUUGUACUAAAAUUUAUUGCAUUCAUACAACUUGGUUUCACUUGAUUAAAGGGACCAAUUUCACAUCAUCUUGCUUAACACAUACUGCAGAGAUAGUCGAUCUAUGACCUCGAAAUGAACAACAACAUCUAGAGAAAAUGAGGACAUAGUGAGUAUUAUAUUGUUAAGUCUUCUUCGUGCUCUAAAAAAUCUCGUGAAACACUACAAAAUAUGUGUAACAUGUUGUUAUAAGUGACUAGUACUUAUUCAUGAAGUACAGGUGACUUUGAGUCUUCCUGGAAAUUGACUUUAACACUUAGGAUGUGUUUCUUUUCUUUCGUUAAUUUGUACCUCAUAGUCCCAUGCAUAGACAAGUCAGCAAUGCUACUUUAUGAAAUAUCGUUUAGUUAAUUAAUUGUUCACAUUAUUUAAUGUGGAGGUCGUUAUAACAAUUAAGAGAUGAAAUGGUGUUUAGUUAAUUAUAUCAUCAUUUCUUACGUGACUACUUAUUUUAUUAACUUAUUUAUAUCUGGGCAAUUAUCAUGAACCCGCAUUAUUAUUUUUACGUUUAUCUUUUUUAUUCUUUCAUUAUUAAAUACUCUAAAGUCUAUCAAACGGUAAAACCUUUUGAAUUAUACAAACAAUAUUGUUGGGUGUUAAUAAAAAGAUCAAUCUGUUUUUUGGUGUAUUCUUUAAAUUACAAGCACUAUAACAAAAACAACUUUUAGCUCAAAAGUCACUUAACUAUGAAUUCUUUUCUCAAAAAGUCACUCAACAUUGAAUUUUAACACAAAUAUCACUCAAUUAUGAGUGGUUUACUUACAAAGUCACUCAAUUAUGAUUGUUUUACUUACAAAGUCUGUUAACAUAUUUAAUUGUUUUUUUAAUUAAAAUUUGUUGGUAUAAUUUUCUUAUUUAAAAUUAAUAUUUUAAAAAAAAGUAAUAUCCAUUAAAUAAUUUAAUGAUCUGCCCCGCUAAAAAUAUAAUAUUGAUUUUUUUUUUAAUUGGAAUUCAAGAAUAAUACGGGAAUAAAUUAUUCCAUGCAUCAGAAUUCUAAGCAUUAUGAGGAAUAAAUUAAUUUCCUCUUCAUCCCCUCCCCCUUUCUCAGUUGCUGCCUCUUCUUCCUCUUUUAGUUUUUUUAAUUGGAAUUCAAAAAUAAUACUGGAAUAAUUUCAUGCAUCAGAAUUCCUAAAGCAGAGGAGAAAGAAUCCGACAAUAAUUUAGGAGAAUUAGCGGUAAAAUAAAAUGGGUCAAUAUUAUAUUUUUAGGAGGUCAUUCAUUAAAUGAUUUAAAUGAAUAUUUUUUUAUUUUUUAAAAUAUUGCUUUUAAUAAAAUUUUAUACCAGCAAAUUUAAUUAAAAAAUUAACUAAAUAGGUCAAAUGACUUUGUAAGUAAAAUACUUAUAGUUGAGUGACUUUGUAAGUAAAACACUCAUCAUUGAGUGACCUUUUAGUUAAAAUUCAAGUUGAGUGACUUUCUGAGAAAAGAAGUCAUAGUUGAGUGACUUUCUGAGAAAAAAAAUUCAUAGUUGAGUGACUUUCUGAGAGAGUAGUGCAUAACUGAGUGACAAUAUUAUAUUACGUGGUUUUGAGUAAGUUUUAUUAUUCUAACUUUAUAUUAUAUAUUUUUUCAUUGAAAAUUUUCGUUGUUUGUAUUCUUACUUCAUAAUGGUCUAUGACUUUGUGUACAUCCUACCUUCUUGAAACUUUACUUGUAGGAUUACAUUAAUCAGUAUGUUAUAAGUAUUCAAUUUAUGUUCGAGUAAUCAACACCAAAUAUUUGGGCAUAUCCCUUGACAACAAGCCUAGCCUUGUAUUUAUUGAUAGAACCAUCAGAAUUGAGCUUGGUUCUAAACACCCAUUUUACUCCAAUGACCUUCAUAUCUUUCAGUCGGUCGACUAACUCCCAAGUUUUGUUUUUCUUGAUCAUUAGCAUCUCCUGCUCCAUUGGCGUUUUCUCCAUUUUUUAUCUUGAAGUGCUUCAUCGUGCCCUGCAGGCUCACAAACUGCCACAUUACUUUGUUGGUAGAUGUCAGAGAGUAGUCUUGUACCUCUAAUUGGAAGAUCAUCCACCAACUCAUUUUUCCAGUGAUCCGAUGCCUGCUCCUCUGAAGCUUUGACUGAAAGUUGAUUGUCCUUCCAGUCCCAUUUCUCUUCAUCAACAAAGUGCACAUCUCUACUGACAAUCAUCUUCCCUGUUUGUGGAUUAUAUACUUUGUAGGCCUUGGAGGAUGAGCUACAACCCACAAAUAUUCCAGGAAGUGCCUUCUUGUCAAGUUUGUCUCUUUUAACCUGUGGCACAUGGAAGAAACAAACACAACCAAAUACUUUAGUGAAGCUUAGUGAUGGUUUGUAUCCAUUCCAAGCCUCAAAUGGAGUUUUAUUCAACAAUGCUUUAGUAGGAAGCUGAUUUUGGAGAAAUAUUGCCGUAUUAGCUGCCUCAGUCCAAAAACUUUUCGGCAACUCUUUUUCAUGCAACAUGCACCGCGACAUCUCCAUUAUAUAUCUGUUUCUCUUUUCACUAACUCCAUUUUGUUGCGGAGUAUAUGGAGCAGUAAGCUGAUGAGUAAUACCCGCUUUCUCACAAAAUUUGUUAAAUUGUUCAAAAUUAUACUCUUUUCCAUUGUCAGACCACAGAGAUUGGAUUCUGCAACCACUUUGAUUUUCCACCAUCUUCUUGAACUUCAAGAAAAUUCCAGCCACUUCUGAUUUAUAUUUCAUAAAAAAAAUCCAGCAGAAUCUUGUAUAGUCGUCAAUGAAUAUAACGUAGUAUAGACUACCAUUAAGGGAUGGUGUUCUUUGAGGUCCUGCAACAUCUGUGUGAAUCAGUUGCAACCUUUGAGAAGUCCGCCAUGUUGCUUUAGGAAAUGACUUCUUAUUCUGCUUACCAAAUUGACAAGCUUGACAACUUGGUAAGUGAUCAACUAGAGUUGGUAGUCCUCUUGUCAUAUCUUCCUUCUCCAGCAACAAUAGUGCUUGUAGAUGGCAAUGGCCAAGUCUCUUGUGCCAGGUUUCCGUUACACUUGCCUUCAUGGAAUAAGCUAGUCACUCUUUCUCUGUUGGAUCAAAGGAAAAAAUCCUUCCUCUCAUCUUCACCCUGAAAAUUUCAUUUCCAGUAGUGUCACUGAUUUGACAGUGAUGAUCUUCGAAGAAAACCUUGAAUUCUUUUUCCAUCAGAUGUCCUACGCUUAGCAAAUUCUGAUCAAUUUCAAGAACAUACAGAACCUCUGAAAUUUUCUUUGUGCCAGUGCUCGUCUUGAUAGCUAUGGUUCCAAUUCCUUUGACAGGAAGGUGAUCUCCAGUUCCUAUCCAAACCUUCGAAAUUUCAGUGGGCUUCAACUCCUUGAAUAAACUCUCGUCAUGAGUCAUGUGGUUAGUGCAACCUGUAGUAUCCGGAAAUUUGAAAAUAGCUAUGACGAGGCUGAGAAUUGGAAAUAGUCACUUUUUGGAAAGAAUUCAAAUCUGGAAAUUUGGUUAAGUGUGGGAAAAAAAUGAGUUUUUGGCCAACUUUGAACAGUCAUAACUCCUAGAUCAGGAUAAGUUAGGUGUAGUUCCAGUUAUUUUUGCGAAGCCCUUGGAAUGAUCUUUCCAACACUGCCGAGUUUGCUCGAUUCCGAGUUUGUAUGAGUGAGUUAUGCCCUUUGGAAGUUGGGUUGUUGGUAUAGGAAAGUUCACCCGAAAUUGUAAGGGUAUUUUGGUCUUUUCCCUAACCAAUUCUUUUGGUUAUAUUAGUGUGUUAGACUGAUUUUGGAUUAGUUUUUCCCAUUUUAAAGAGUAAGAGAGAGGGUUUGUGAGUGAAGAGGAGAAGAAGAGGAGAAAGAGGGGAUCAAGCAAGGAUUCAUCAAAGAUCGUCGUGGAUAUCGUCGGGGGUGAUCCCUACUAGGUAUGUGAGUUCAUAGUGUUGGGUUGGUUCUUUCCCCCACACGCCAAUCUCGUUUUAAUUUCGAGAAAAGAUUGAUUGUGUUUGUUGAAGUUGUUGGUUGUGAUUGUGUUGAAGUUCUUGUUGAUUUGGGCAUGUUUUCGGUUGUGUUUCUGGGUUAAAUAUAUUGUAUGUUGAGGGGUUUUAUGAUAUUAAGUGUUUGGGGCUGGAAACUUUGAAGUUGGGAAGGUUUAGAAUUGGAAAAACAAGGAAGAAAAGUCGAAUUUUCGAGGGAAAAGGGGUGGGCCAUCGCGCCUGCCAGCGCGCCCCAAAAGGGGUUCUGAACUUUCCCCCUUGGGGCGGCGCACCUAGCAGCGCGCCAGCAGGCCCCUCUGAAGUUUUAGGGCUGGCGCCCCGCGCCUCUCAGAGCAACAAGGACGCCAACCUUUCCCAUUCAUUCCCCACAUUUUCAUGCAUGUUCCUUAGUAUUGUACUUAUGUUUCAUAGUUGUUUCCAACACUCCAAGGUACGUCUAAACGUCAAGAACUCAUCGAUAAACAUGUGAUCAUAUACCUUGAAUCCAUAAUCCAAUUCAAGGCGAGUUAGGAUCAAGUCAAAGUGAAGUUAAGGGUCAAGUCUAGAAGUUAAGAAGCAAGUCAAAGCAAGUUUUCAAAGGUGUUCAAGAGUCUUUAUUGAACGUUCUAACUUCAUUUUAAGGCUCAAGUUUCAAGUCAAGUAAAGAGUAUAGAGCUUCAAGCUAAGUAAAGAGUCUCAGGUUUCAAGUUAAGUCAAGAGUAUAAAGUUGAGUUCAUUUCUCAAAAACUAUUAGGGACCUAAGUAUUCCCAAAGACGUUUAUAAAUGUUUUUACAUUUGAGUAAGAAGGGAACCAUGUUCUCCAAAAAGAGCCUUUGGGCUAAGUUUGAGUAAUUAUCUCAACUAAAGAAAGAUUUGUUUAAAACACUUAUGAGCUAAAAUAUAUUUUUGGGAGUAGUCUUGAGCACCGAGUUGGGGACAUGAGUUCAUAUUAACUCAACUCUCCAUAAGAACCAUGUGGCCAACAUGGGAUUUAACGGGUCAUACUUUUUAGAUAAUCACGUAAGUUAAGCUAGUGGAUCCACUUAGUAAAGUUAGCUUCCUAUAUCACGGCAAGGUAUAGGAUGGGCCUCGGCAGUGCGAGGUAAAGCGCUGUAUCAUCACUAUAGUUCUUAAAUGAUGGUUGUCGGAUAGAGAAACUCCCACAGCAGUAGAAAGUGCUUGGUUCCUCGAGGAGUUCUGCUUAGUAUGAAUGGGGGUAUGGGACUUCAUUCAUACAUUGCACAAGUAGACCUUGAGAGGAAGCAUGGUAUUUUCAUGAUAUUAAAAAUAUGAUUUUUACGUCAUGUUUUAAGAGUUUUACAAGCUUUAUAUAUUGCAUGUGUCUUAUUGCUUUAUAUAUUGAGUUCAGUUAUUCAUGAGUCCUCCUUGCUUUCCAUAGGACUCGGUUAUUUUGUGUUCUUAGUUUUGUUUUAUUAGGGUGUUGCGGGGUCUGUCCCAACAUCCAUCUCAGUAUUUUUAGAGGCUUCACAGACAGUCAGUCAGUAAGUUUUGAGUCUCUCAUCUAUGUAUAUAUAUAAUAUUCUAUUUUGAGACGCGAGUUGCUUUUUUGGCUAGCUUUUGUCAGUUAGGUUGUUUUAUGACCUUUCAUUGCAUUGAGUUAUGCUGUUGAGUUAAGUUUCUGUUGAGUUAAGAAAAGCCAGGCCAAGGGUUCGCUUGGGGGCCAACAAUGGUGUUCGAGUGCCGGCCACGUCCAGGGUGUAGGUUCGGGGCGUGACACAACCACUGUCAACUAACCAAGAAUCUGUUGAGCUCUUACUUGAAAAGCAUGUUGCAAUAAAAGGAUGAUCUUCUUCUUCUUGAUCAACAACUUGAGCAUUUCCUUCCUCCUGCGGGGCCUAAUUCUUGCAAAUCACUGCUUCGUGUCCAAGCUUAUUGCAUUUCUUACAUUUAGCAUCAAGUCUCUUCCAACACUUGAAUGGUGCAUGGCCUUUUCUUCCACAAUGGUGACAAGGGGGAUAACUUUUUUUCGCACUUCCUCCCUUAGUUUUGUUGUUGGCUGAUGUUUCUCCUUCACACACUGCUUGAUUCUUUUUCUUCUUCUGAAUUUUGUUAACCUGAUGCUUACUGACAAGUGCCCCUUCUGUUGUAACCUCCUGUCUCAUGAGUCUUCUUUGCUCUUGAGCUUUCAGGGAAUUGAGCAACUCUGUCAAACUAAUCUUUGACAAAUCCUUAGUAUUUUAUAAGGUUGUAAUUGUUGCUUCAUACCUUUCAGGAACUGUUACAAGGAUCUUCUCAACAAUUCUCGAGUCUGAAAAUGUAGAGCCGAGUAGCCUCACCUUUUUUGCAAUAUUUAGAAGUCUAUCCGAAUAUUCCUUCACUGUUUCAGAUUCCUUCAUUUUUUGCAAUUCAAACUCCCUAAUUAAGUUUAAAACUUGCAUACCUUUUAUUCUCUCAUCUCCAGAAUACUCUUCCUUAAGAUAAUCCCAUACUUCUUUAGCAGUUUUCAGAGACAUUAUUCGCGUGAAAACUAUUGACGAUACAACAGCAAAUAAACAUGCCUUGGCCUUCGAUUUCUUUGUCUUCUGUUCCUUGUGUGCUUUAAUCUGAGCAAUGGUAGGAUUAUUUGGUAGGGCUGGAAUAUCGUAAUCCUCUUCCACAGCUUCCCAGAGAUCCAAAGCAUCCAAGUACGUCUCCAUUCAUACUGCCCAAAUCUGAUAAUUAUCUCCAUCAAAGACCGGCGGAGCAAUUGGUGAGAAACUUGCUUCAGCAUCCAUGGCUACUCCAACUCGAUCACAAAUCCCUUAAGAUGAAAGCUCUGAUACCAACUGUUUUUAGUAAGACUAAUGACAGAUAACACAAUGAAGACAAUGUCUAGUUUGCUACAGAAAGGAAAGCAGGAGAAUACAAGGAAUUUAAAUGUGAAGAUAACUAAGAGAAAAGCUUAUGCAGAAAGUUGUAUUUCAGUAAAAUCAACCAAAAAUACAUAAACAUACAAUUAAGUAACUGAUAUAGAUCAUGGUCCUACUUUUAAGUCAUGGUACUAACCAUGGUAACUACCCCUAAAAUAACUGAAAAAAGAAAUACAGGAAACUUAGAAAUAGAUCCUGCAGUCCUAAAGCAACUAACUAAUAGUCGUAAAUGGUAAUCGAUUUGAAGGACCUGUCCCUGUGUCGUUGCUCAAAUGUCAUAAUUUAGAAGUUCUUGAUGUGGGGAACAAUGCUAUAAAUGACACGUUUCCAUCUUGGCUUGAAAUUCUUCAAGAGCUGCAGGUCCUUAUAUUAAAGUCGAACAAGUUCCAUGGACCUAUAAGUACGUGUCAAACUAAGUUUUGCUUUCCCAAGUUGCGAAUUUUUUAUUUUUCUCGUAAUGAUUUCAGUGGCUCACUUCCUGCAAAAGUUUUUGGAAACUUCAAGGCAAUGAUCAAAUUAGAUGACGAAGACACAAGAGAGAUCAGGUACAUGGAAUCUAUGUCGAAUUUGUCAUCUAUCGCAUCGUAUGAGGAAUCAGUGAGUUUGGUAAUCAAAGGGCACGUUAUUGAGCUACAAAGAAUCAGCACAAUUAUGACAACCAUAGAUCUCUCAAGCAACCAUUUUGAAGGUGUCAUUCCGGAAACACUAAAAGAUCUCAGCUCACUUUGGCUACUCAAUUUAUCCCAUAACAAUCUCAUAGGUCAUAUUCCAAUGGAAUUGGGGCAAUUGAAUACACUUGAAGCUUUAGAUCUCUCCUGGAAUUGGCUCACUGGAAAGAUUCCGCAGGAAUUAACAAGAAUGAACUUUCUGGCCUUCUUAAACAUCUCUCAAAAUCAUCUCGUCGGACCAAUUCCUCACAGUCUACAGUUCAACACAUUUGAAAAUGACUCGUAUGGCGGCAACCUUGAUUUAUGUGGUCCUCCUUUAUCAAAACAAUGUGGAACGAGAGAUUCAUCACAUGUUCCUCAAGCAUUGGAGUCCUAUUUUUUUAGUGGAUUUACAUGGGAAUCAGUAGUCAUAGGCUACAGUUUUGGACUAGUUGUUGGAACUGUCAUGUGGAGUCUCAUGUUUAAAUAUCGUAAGCCAAAAUGGUUAGUGGAAUUUUUUGAUGGACUCAUGCCUCAGAAAAGAAGAAGGCCAAAGAAGAGAGCUCAGAGACGACGGACUUAAUGGAAGAUUGAGAGGGGCCAACUUGUCUUUGUUUGAUUUUGUGGACUAAUUAGUGAACUUCUCUGGUUCUGUUUUUGUCUUUUUAAUAUUCUGUUUGUUGUUUGUAUAUGUUUGAUAGAAACAUAAUUAUAUAUGAGUUAUUUUAGUAUCAAUGGUUAUUCAAGUUAUGUUUCUGUUUCAAGUUGACAUAAGUGAUCCACACACCAAACUUAUUAAUUAGCUAUGAUACCCGGACUUUUCAAAAAUGCCAACAGAUACUUGUUGGAUUCUUCAAAGUAUUGCAUUUCUCAAGGAACCAACACAGGUGCGACAUCAUUAUAUUUUAGGAGAGUCGGAGCAACAUAGUUCAUUAGUACAACAAAAAGGAAAAAGCAAAGCAGUAAGCACAUAGAGUUUGGUUCAUGAUUGAAAUCACUUGAUAUUAGAAAGUUCAUAUAUUCAGCAUAACUGCAUGUCCAUUUUACAUUACAGUUCUUCUUAUACAAACUAGAAAAGAAAAUCUUGUGUUUACAGAAACUGAAAAUUGAUUUUCUAUAAUGUAAUACAUUUGCAUUGACCACACUACCCUUUUGUCACAGUGUUUUAUAGGUUACGAAGUUUAAGAAAAAAAAGUAAGAUUUUUUAAAUUUGUGAUUUUGAAUAUGACGUGCGAUUUUUGUGGCUAUAUAUAAAAGUAUGAAGUGUUGAUCUUUUUUGAAAUAGAUUAAUAGGAAAUAGUGUUACGUAAAAUGAAAGACAGAAUGUACUAUAUAGUGUGAUAUUGAACCAGAUCUUGAGAUAUAUAGAGUGCAAACUAGCUAGCUGUAAAGUAUCAACUUUGUCCCCAUUAAGUUUUUUCUACUACAAAAAAACUAGAAAAGUGAAAAGUGUUGUGGAAAAUUAUAGAAUGUACCUAACAUGUUUGAAAACAACUAAUCAGGAAUUUCUGAUACAAUUUCUCUGCAAUCUUUAACAUUAAAUAUUGACCAAGUCAAGUCUCUCUGGUGGUGGAAUUAGAAUGUUGAAUUAGCUUUACUUUUAUUUCUUUCUUGUUUAACAUCUUAUAUUUAUAAAUAAAAUAAGGCAACAUGUCCUAUCAUUAUUAUACUAAAUUUAUUUUUCUUCUUGUUUAAGAGCUUAUAUUUCUGUAAAGAAUGUGUAUGCUAUAUUUUUACAUUUUUCACUUCUGAAUAAGUAGUAGUAUAUGAAUCUUGCAUAAUAUAACCUGCUUUUCCAAGAGGCCUUUGUGUAUUAAAUUUUUUGUAUCUAUUAUCUAGAUUAAGCUUCAUCUAGAUAAUGCAAAAACCGACUCUGGUUAGUCUUCGCGGAAAUUUGCCUAAAGACUUAGAAGUCAUCGUCUGAUAGUUGCAGUAAAGUACCCCUUUUUUCUUUGUUGCUUAAUUAAAUACGAGACGGUCCUAUGAAGAAUAAUGGAGUUUCCCUCAUUAACUUAAUGUGAAAACUCAUGUGUAACUAACAAGUUUGAAAACAGCACAAGAGACAACUAAUCAAACACCAACUUGGAAAUUUCUCAUAAUAGCUUUUAGGAACGCUUUGUAUAAUCCAAUGUUUUUUUGAGCUAUUGACUUAGUACAACACAACAGGAAAAGGCUGCAUCCACCUGUGGGGCUCAUGUUGUUCAUGGGUUAUUUAUCAGUCUAGACCUUAGUGGUAGUUAUCUUUAUGGAACUGUAGAGAAUAGCAGAAGAAAAGUAUAAUCUGCUAGCCCAAGAUCAUUAACUAUAAAAGAUCGGAAUAUUCAACUAAAGAAGAGGAAGCUAGAAAGAACUUGUUUAUGGAAUAAGACUCUUUUAUUUGGGUUGUUCUUGAGUUGUAUACAAAUGACUGAGGCCACCCCUAUUUAUACUUAUGUGGGGAUGGUUCUAGACAUUACAAGAUCUAGACUAUUUUCUACAGUGAGUGUUACAUACGGGACCAAUUUCACAUCAUCUUGCGUAACAAACAAUGCAGAAAUAGUUAAUGACCUCGAAAUGAACAACAACAUCUUGAGAAAAUGAGGACAUAAGGGGUAUUAUUUUGUUAAGUCUUCUCCGUCCUCUAAAAAGUCUUGUGGAACACUACAAAAUAUGAAGUAACAAGUUGUUAGAAGUGAGUAGUACUCAUCCAUGGACCACAAGUUGUGUAGUUAGUGAUGCCAAGGUUGUAUUAUUUUUUCUCCCUUUAUGCCAAAGUUGGACAAAAUGAAUAUUGUAUAUAUAAUUGGUACUAUCAAACAAAAUUUGAAGACUUGAGUCUUUCUGGAAAAUGACUUAAAACACUUUGGACAACUUUUUUGCAAUCACAAAUUAGUUAGUGGUAGAUGUGGGGGCAAAUACCCCAUUUUAUUUGUCUGGAUAUGUUUCAUUCUCUUUUUCUAUUCACACUUUUACAGUAAAGAUGAAAGAGAAAAUAAUUUAUGUGUGAACAAAUUAAAUAUACCACAACAUGAUUUUCUUAAAAAUAAAAAAAAUAAAAAAAGUAAUUUUUGUACAAGUAGGGAUAUAUGUGAAGCCACUUUUGUAACAACGGGUAUAUUAACUCUAAAAUGACAAAGUUGAGGGAUAUAUCAUGCCCUUUUCCUUAAUGUGCCUUGCAAUGAUAACAAUAUAAGUUGAAUAGGAUACAGUUCACUACAAUUAUACCACAAAAACAACUUUUUUGAUGUAGUGUCGAUCACUACACCUUUAUCUUGAGUCGAGGGUCUACGAAAACAGCCUCUCUACUACUUUGGUUAUUCUCCAUCUCUUUCAUGUUUGAACUGUAUCAUAUAGAUGGAGUUUCCCUCAUUAACUAAAUGUGAAAAGUCUUGGAAAACAACACAAGAGACAACUAAUCGGAAAUUUCUCAUAAAAUUUCUAAUUAUGCAGGAAAUUAAGACACAUAUCAAACAAAAUUUUGAAUAAAAAGCAAAUAAAAAAAUUAAAAAAAAAUUCCACACGGUAUUAUUGUUCAUUUUUUUCCUCACUUGACUUAGUCAAGAAAUAGUUUCUCUCAUUGGAAAUUUCUUAGAAGUUCAGCAAAAAACAAUUCCACAUAAUGGGACCAAAUUCACAUCAUCUUGCCUAACACACACUGCAGCGAUAGUUAAUGACCUCAAAAUGAACUCAACAUCUAGAGAAAAUUAGGACAUAAAGAGUAUUAUUUCGUUAAGUCUUCUCCGUACUCUAAAAAGUAUUGUGGAACACUACAAUAUAUGAGUAACAAGUUGAUUUUUAAUACCAUUGUUUAAUCUCCUUAAUGUUUUGAGUAAGAUUUGAUUUUUUUUUUUACGCGAUGCGUGACGCCUAGGCAGACGUGCCCUGAGUAAGAUUUGGUUAUUCUAACUUUAUAUUAUAUUUUUUCAUUGAAUUUUUUUGUUGUUUGUACUCUUCCUUCAUAAAGGUCUGUGUAUAUCCUACCUUCUUGAAACUUUACUCGUAAGAUUACAUUAAUCAUUAUGUUAUAGGUAUUCAAUAUACAUAGGACACUUAGAACUAGUAUAUAUAUGUAUGGAUGAUACUGACUGAUUUGUAAGAAGAACACAUCCAUCCUGAACACAAACAAACAAAAAAUGGUCAUGAGUCUGUUUUUCUUUUAUUCAUUUCUAUGUUUUGUGUUUUUAUUAAGUGAAUGCUUUUCUUCAUCCUUUGAUCAUCAUCUUUGCUCUCCCACUGAAGUUUCUGCUUUGCUUCAGUUUAAGCAAUCCUUUAAAAUAUCUGAUUACUCUACUCUUCAGUGUGAUACUUCUUUCCCAAAAACAAAGUCUUGGAAUGAGAGUAGGGAUUGCUGCAGUUGGGAUGGAGUCACUUGUGACUUAUUAAACGGUCAUGUUAUCGGGUUAGACCUUAGCUGUAGUCAGCUUCGUGGAAGUAUUCAUCCCAAUAGCAGCCUCUUCCAACUUCAUCAUCUCCAAACACUAAACCUUGCUUACAAUAACUUUUCAACUUCUUCAAUCUCACAUAACAUUGGCCGAUUGAGGAAUUUGAGGCAUCUCAACCUUUCUAAUUCUUUCUUUAGUGGGAAAAUCCCAACAGAAAUCUCAUUCCUUUCCAAUUUGGUUUCACUUGAUCUUUCUUAUAGUUAUGGAUUACAACUUGAUGAGAGAACAUUUGAAACAAUGCUUCACAACUUUACAAAUCUGGAGGUACUAGCUCUCUUUCUUGGCAACAUCUCGUCACCGAUACCUGUAAGUAUUCAUCCCAAUAGCAGCCUCUUCCAGCUUCAUCAUCUCCACACACUAAACCUUGUUAACAAUUUCUUUUAUCCUUCUUCAAUCCCAAAUGGCAUUGGCCGAUUGAGGAAUUUGAGGCAUCUAAAACUCUAUGAAUUUCAAGGGAAAAUCCCAACAGAAAUCUCACACCUUUCCAAUUUGGUUUCACUUGAUCUUUCUUAUAGUUAUGAAAAAUUACAACUUGAUGAGAGAACAUUUGAAGCAAUGUUUCAGAACUUGACAAAUCUGGAGCUACUUUCUCUCUAUGGUGUCAACAUCUCAUCUCCGAUACCUGUUAAUAUUUCUUCAUCCUUAAGGUACCUGGAUCUUGGAUAUACUAAUCUGCGAGGUGUUCUCACAGAGAGCUUUUUCCUUGUGCCAAACUUGGAAAUACUCAAAUUGAGUGGGAAUGAUCUUGUCAAAGGAGUUUUUCCAAAGAUCCACUGGAGCAACACUCUGUUAAUGGAGUUGGAUAUUUCAUCCACAGGCAUCUCUGGUGAGGUGCCUGAUUCAAUUGGCACCUUCAGUUCCUUGAAUAUCUUGAACCUUGCAGGAUGCCAAUUCUCUGGUUCCAUUCCUGAUUCCAUUAGCAACCAAACACAAAUUAGGGAGUUGAUUUUAUAUCAUAAUCAUUUCACUGGCCAUAUUCCUUCCACAAUCUCUAAAUUGAAGCACCUCACACGUUUGGAUCUUUCAAUUAACUCCUUUUCAGGUGAAAUUCCUGAUGUUUUCUCAAACCUCCAAGAGCUACGUACUUUACAUCUUUCUUAUAACAGCUUCAUCGGUUCGUUUCCCGCUUCAAUUUUAAGUUUGACACAUCUUGAAUACUUAGGAUUGUCGAGUAAUUCCCUAUCUGGCCCACUGCCUAGCAACCAAAGCAUGCUUCAAAAGCUAACCGAACUGAAUUUGUCAUACAACUCACUGAAUGGUACCAUACCAUCUUGGGUGUUUAGCCUACCUUUGCUAUCUUCAGUGUCGCUCCAACAUAACCGAUUCAGAGGACUAGCCGAUGAAGUGAUCAAAACAAACCCAACAUUAAAACAACUGCAAUUAAGCAAUAAUCAACUCAGUGGUUCUUUUCCUCAAUCACUUGUGAAUCUCACAAACCUUGAAACCCUUGGAAUUUCAUCAAAUAACAUCACCAUUGAUGGGGGAAUGAAUAUCACCUUUCAUAGACUAUCAUCUUUAUUCUUAUCAUCUUGUGAACUGAAGGAUUUUCCACACUUCUUGAGAAAUGUAAAGACACUUGUGUACUUGGAUAUUUCUAACAAUAAGAUUUGUGGUCAAAUCCCUAACUGGUUUAGUGGCAUGAGGUGGGACUCGUUGCAGUUCCUAAACCUUUCUCAAAAUUCAUUAACAGGCCACCUACCACAAUUUCGUUACGAUAACCUACAGUAUCUUGAUCUGAAAUUUAACUACCUUCAGGGUCCACUAGCUUUAUCCAUUUGUAACAUGAGGAAACUUAUCUUAUUAGAUUUAUCACACAACUACUUCAGUGACUCAGUUCCACAUUGCUUGGGAAGCAUGCCUAAUCUAACGGUGCUGGACUUAAGAAGGAACAAUUUCACAGGGAGUCUUCCCCCAUUAUGUGCACACAGCACUUCGUUGAGUACCAUUGUCAUAAAUGGUAAUCCUUCCUGCAAAAGUUUUUGGAAACUUCAAGGCAAUGAUCAAAUUAGAUGACGAAGACACAAGAGAGAUCAAGUACAUGAAAUCUACGUUGAAUGCGUUAGUUGUCAGAUCGUAUGAGGAUUCGGUGAGUUUGGUGAUCAAAGGGCAGGAUAUUGAGCUAGAAAGAAUCAGCACAAUUAUGACAACCAUAGAUCUCUCCUGGAAUCGGCUCAUUGGAAAGAUUCCGCAGGAAUUGACAAGAAUGAACUUUCUGGCUUUCUUAAACCUCUCUCAAAACCAUCUUGUCGGACCAAUUCCUCACGGUCUACAAUUCAACACAUUUGAAAAUGACUCGUAUGGUGGCAACCUUGAUCUAUGUGGUCUUCCUUUGACAAAGAAAUGUGGAACGAGUGAUUCAUCGCAUGUUCCUCAACAAUUGGAGUCCGAAGAAGAAGAAGGCGAGUCAUAUUUUUUAGUGGAUUUACAUGGGAAUCAGUAGUCAUAGGCUACAGUUUUGGACUAGUUGUUGGAACUGUCAUGUGGAGUCUCAUGUUUAAAUAUCGUAAGCCAAAAUGGUUUGUGGAAUUUUUUGAUGGACUCAUGCCUCAGAAAAGAAGAAGGCCAAAGAAGAGAGCUCAGAGACGAAGGAUUUAAUGGAGGAUUGAUAGGGCUAAUUUGUCUUUGUUUGAUUUUGUGGACUAAUUAGUGAACUGUUCUGCUUUUCCCUCAUUAACUAAAUGCGAAAAGUCUUGAAAAAACAGCACAAGUAUAGAAGAAGCAUGAAAUAGAAAGAGUAGCAUUGCUUAAUCAUCUAGUACUGCUGUAGCUUAUGGUAAUCACUAGUAAUUGAUGAAUCACACUUCAAGCAUAUCAUGAAUUUGGCUUAAAGACUUAGAAGUCAUCGUCUGCUAGUUAAUACGAGAUGGUCCUAUAUAUGAAGAAUAAUGGAGUUUCCCUCAUUAACUUAAUGUGAAAAGUCUUGUGUAUCUAACAAGUUAGAAUGUUCAAAUACUUUUAACUAUAUAGUUUUAUUAUUAUUUUGUAUUCUUCUGCUUUGCGUAUCAUCGAGUUUCUCUUACAUACUCUGAUCCCUGAUUUUGUAAGAAUAGAACAUCCCGUUAUUUGGUGAAUACAAAAAAAGAGUCUCUUUUUCUUUUAUUCAUUUCUCUGUUUUGUGUUGCUAAUAAGUCUAUGCUUUUCUUCUUCCCUUUGAGCAUCAUUUUUGCUCUCCCAAGUAGACACUUUAAAACAAAUAUAAAACAUUACAUUUUAAAAUAAAAUGACAAAAGUGAAUAAAUUAAUCAGUGGAUUUACGUGGGAAUCAGUGGUCAUAGGCUACAUUUCACUACAAGUCUACGAUAAAAAAUAACUUUAGCAGGCAAUAAAUAUACACAUUAACAAAGAGUGACUAAAACCUUUACUGGUAUUAAUUAAUUGUCAUUAGAUUCAAUGUCUCUAUAGGCUUUAGGGACACUUAUAAAAAGUGCUAAUUGCCUCUAAAAAUACAUGUUUAGUAGCGAUUAAGCUAUAGCCGUUAAUUAAUUACCCCUAAAGAUCAUUUUUGAUGUAGUGUAGAUCACUACACCUUUAUCUUGAGUCGAGAGUCUAUGGAAACAACACAAGAGACAACUAAUCGUCUAGAGAAAAUGAGUACAUAGGGGGUAUUAUUUUAUUAAGUCUUCUCCAUCCUCUAAAAAGUCUUGUGGAACACUACAAAAUAUGAAGUAACAAGUUGCUAGAAGUAAGUAGUACUCAUCCUGUAAUUCAAUUGUUCAUCAGUCCCGAUUCAUCAUAAUCUUUUUUUUUCCUCUAGUCUUAGUGGAAAUUGGCUCAAAGGCUUACAAGUCAUCGUCCGCUAGUUACAAUACUGUAUCACUUUUUUCCUUAGGUGGAAUAGAAUAUUGAUGGAUUUUCCCUCAUUAACUUAAAAAUGUGAAAACUAUAGUGUACCUAACAAGUUUGAAAAUAGCAGAAUUGACAACUAAUUACUAACUUGGAAUAUUGACAUUUUAUGAUUGUAUAAAUUCCAUAGAAAAAUUGCAUACAAAUUUAUUGCAUUCUCAUAAUUGGUUUCUCUAUUAACUGUUCUCAUAAUUGGUUCAAUGACACGUCUUGACAUUUUAUGAUUAUAUAAAUUCCGUAAAAAAAUGCACUAAAAUUUACUGCAUUCAUACAACUUGGUUUCGCUUGAUUAAAGUGUCCCUUCUUGUCUUAUGGAAGAUGAAAUGGAGUAACAUCAUGUCUUUAUUGUUCAUUUAUUAUUAUUUUUUUCUCAAUUGACUUGGUCAUACAAUAGUUUCUCUCUUUGAAAUGUAUUGUGGGAAACAGAAGAAGAGAUGUUGAUGGAAAGUUAGACAAGAAUGACUUAAAAUAGGAGUUCAAAUUUCUAUCUAUCCNNNNNNNNNNNNNNNNNNNNNNNNNNNNNNNNNNNNNNNNNNNNNNNNNNNNNNNNNNNNNNNNNNNNNNNNNNNNNNNNNNNNNNNNNNNNNNNNNNNNNNNNNNNNNNNNNNNNNNNNNNNNNNNNNNNNNNNNNNNNNNNNNNNNNNNNNNNNNNNNNNNNNNNNNNNNNNNNNNNNNNNNNNNNNNNNNNNNNNNNNNNNNNNNNNNNNNNNNNNNNNNNNNNNNNNNNNNNNNNNNNNNNNNNNNNNNNNNNNNNNNNNNNNNNNNNNNNNNNNNNNNNNNNNNNNNNNNNNNNNNNNNNNNNNNNNNNNNNNNNNNNNNNNNNNNNNNNNNNNNNNUAUUAUUAAGUAUGUUAAAAUAUAAUUAUUAAAAGAUAAAUUAAAAUUAUAAAACCACAAAUACCUAAUAAGAUGUACUAUCAAUUAUUGGUUAUAACUUUCUUGCACUUUAAUUUAAAUUAUAGAUUUAUUUAUAUUUUCAAUUAUUUUUUUAUAAGAACUUUUUAUGUAUAAUAUAAAUUUUGUCUACGUUUAAUAUGCUUAGCUAUGGAUAUUAUCUCAUAGAAAGUGUAAGCAUAAAAUUUUCAUGAUAUGUUGGGUGGUGGUGAUUUAUUUUAAAUAUAUAGUUUCACUUUUUAAGAGUUAAAUCAAAUGAACUUUAGCCAACAUUUAAGAUAUAUUUUUCUACCUUAUUGAUAUAACAUGAAAAGAUUAGCAUUUAUAAUGCUACGACUAAACACAAGUAGAAUAAAAUUUCAAAGAGCAACAAUAAAUGGGUGGGCACCAACAAAUUCAACUGGGCACUCUGAGUGGGGGAAUUAUAAUUGUGUUCAAGUGGUAUGUGAUAAAUCGUACAUAUGCUUCGUCAAUCAGCGGGAACCAACAAUCUAGUGAGAAAUUUCUCAAACCAGUCAUUCUUUUACAUGGAGAACCCACACUGGUGUUUGACUCCAAAGACAUAGAAGCGUUUAUCACGGAGGAGAAUUUAAAAUACGCUCUCAUUGCCAAAUUCUCACAUGGAAGGCCUGAACUUCCAGAUUUACCGAAAAUAUUGUCUCAACAAUUAGGAUUUAAGGGUGAAUGUAACAUUGGGUUAUUAGAAAGUCGGCACGUGUUGCUGUGGUUCACUUUAAAGGAAGAUUAUAUUGCAAUCUUUUCAAAAACUAGUAGGUCGAUUAAGUUCGCUGGUACUGUUAUACCAUUCAGAAUCCAAAAGUGGACUCCCUCUUUUAGUCCUAGGGAAGAAACCUCCAUUGCAAUGGCGUGGAUUUCUUUCCCAAGUUUACCCUGUCAAUAUUUUGCUUGUAAUGCUCUGUUUUCUAUGGCUUCGGCAGUUGGACAACCUCUUGAUGUGGAUUGAGCGACCUAUGAUAAAACACGACCUAGUACUGCAAGGGUAAAAGUCGUGGUGGAUCUUUUAAGGAUCCUUCCAAAAAGAAUUAGAGUUCAAUUCAAAGAUUUAGUCACUGGCGAAAUUACAAACGUAUGGCAAAAAAUCAGGUAUGAUUAUGUACCAUAUUAUUGUAAGAGAUGUAAUCAUCAGGGGCAUAGAGAAGCUGAUUGUCGAACUCUCCGAUGGUCAAGUUGAUGCCAUGGUCAGUGAAAAUCAUAUUGAAGGAGAAAAAUUUCAAGGAGAUCUUCAUGAUCAUCUCAAUUCCUAAAAAACUGAUUUAAACAGGCUGGAAAUUGGUGAAAAGGAUGAUGAAGAAACUGUUAAAGAUUUAGAUGUAGGGGCUGAAAAGAGUGGUGUUCAAAAUCAAAAUUUGGUGCGCCAAAAUUCUGGCCAGCGCCAAGGCAAAGCAAUGUUGGACGACUAUUCUUCAGGGAAUCAAGUAUUAUCCUUAAUUCCUCAAACUGGUGAGUCUUCGCGGCAAAGUUGUAAUUCAGUUGAUCAUGUCUUUAAUUAUUCUUUCAUUUUUUUUCCUCACUUGACUUAGUCAAGCAAUAGUUUCUCUCAUUGGAAAUUUCUUACAAGUUUUGCAGAAUUUUUUUCUACAUAAUGGGACCAAUUUCACAUCAUCUUGCGUUAGUAACACACAACAGAGAGAUAGUUAAUGACUUCGAAAUGAAUACAACAUCAGAGAAAAUUAGGACAUAGGGAGUAUUAUUUUGUUAAGUCUUCUCCGUCCUCUUACAAGUCUUGUGGAACAUUACAAAAUAUGAGUAACAAGUUGUUAGAAGUGACUAGUACUCAUCUUGUAAUUCAAUUGUUCAUCAGUCCCGAUUCAUCAUAAUCUUUUUUGUUCCUCUAGUCUUAGUGGAAAUUGGCUCAAAGGCUUACACGUCAUCGUCCGCUAGUUACAAUACUGUAUCACUUUUUUCCUUAGGUGGAAUCGAAUAUUGAUGGAUUUUCCCUCAUUAACUUAAAAAAUGGGAAAACUAUUGUGUACCUAACAAAUUUGAAAAUAGCAGAAGAGACAACUAAUUAUUAACUUGGAAUAUUGACCUUUUAUGAUUGUAUAAAUUGCAUAGAAAAAUUGCAUACAAAUUUUAUUGCAUUCUCAUAAUUGGUUUCUCUAUUAACUGUUCUCAUAAUUGGUUCAAUGGCGCGUCUUGACUUUUAUGAUUUUAUAGAUUUCGUGGAAAAAUUACACUAAAAUUUAUUGCAUUCAUACAAGUUGGUUUUGUUUGAUUAAAGUUUCCCUUCUUGUCAUAGGGAAGAUAAAAUAGAGUAACAUCAUGUCUUUAUUGCUCAUUUAUUUUUAUUUUUUUGUCAAUUGACUUGGUCAUACAAUAGUUUCUCUCUUUGAAAAGUAUUGUGGAAAACAGAAGAAGAGAUGUUGAUGGAAAGUUAGACAAGAAUGACUUAAAAUAGGAGUUCAAAUUCCUACCUAUCCAUCUAUACUAAUGUUAAAUUGCUAUAAUAUUUUCAACUUAAAAACUACUUAAUUUAGUAUAUUUUCUAUAAUUUAUAAUAUGUUAUAUUAUAUUUAUUUAUUUAAUUUAAAAUAUAGCGUAUUACAUGAUUUAGCAUUCACGUGCAAUGCACGUGCAUCAAAGCUAGUACUAUCUUAAAAACUAUGUUACUAGAUUAUUUUAAAAUGUCAACAGGUACAUGUUAGAUUCUUCAAAAGUUAUGUAUUUUUUAAGGAACCAACAUUGGUGCAACAUCAUCACAUUUUUGGAGAGCCUGAGCAACAUAUACAAGAAAAUUGGAAAAAGAAGUGCAAUAAGCAUAUAGAGUUUGGUUCAUGAUUGAAAUUACUUGAUAUUAGAAAGUUAACAUUUGUGAAAAUUGAUGUUGAAGAGUAGUCAAAACUACAGAAAUGGCUAAUAAUGGGCAAAAUGCUCUCUGGAAUUGGCUCACUGGAAAGAUUCCAAGGGAACUGACAAGACUACAAUUCGAGGCAGACUAAAAACUCUCUCUCAAUGUUCUUAUCAGACCGAUUGCUGUUCCUCAUCUAUUGGAGUCCGAAGAAGAGUCGUAUUUUGCUAGUGGAUUUACGUGGGAAUCAGUGGUCAUAGUUGUGGAUUAGUUGUUGCAACUGUCAUGUGGAGCCUCAUGUCUAAAGCUAAAAUGAAUUGUGGAAUUUUUUGAAGCCAUCUAUAAAAGCAAAAGACAGAAACCUGUGAUCCUUCAAUACAAUUAGUCUCUCAUCAGUUUUCUUUGCUUGUGCAUCAUUUUUUUAUUUGAUCACUACACCUUUGUCUUGAGUCGAGGGUUUACGGAAACAGCCUCUGGUUAUUUUCCAUCACUGUGUAUCAUAUAGAUGGAAUUUCCCUCAUUAACUAAAUGUGAAAAGUCUUGAAAAAACAGCACAAGAAUAGAAGAAGCAUGAAAUAGAAAGAGUAGUAUUGCUUAAUCAGCUAGUACUGUAGCUUAUCGUAAUCACUAGUAAUUGAUGAAUCACACUGCAAGCAUAUCAUGAAUUUGGCUUAAAGACUUAGAAGUCAUCGUCUGCAUGUUAAUACGAGACGGUCCUACGAAGAAUAAUGUAAAAAGUCUUGUGUACCUAACAAGUUAGAAUGUUCAAAUACUUUUAACUAAAAUCUAUCUACAGUUUUAUUAGUAUUUUGUAUUCUUCUGCUUUGUGUAUCAUCGAGUUCUCUUACAUACUCUGAUCCCUGAUUUUGUAAGAACAGAACAUCCUAUUAUUUGGUGAAUACAAAAAAAGAGUCUCUUUUUCUUUUAUUCAUUUCUCUCUUUUGUGUUGCUAAUAAGUCUAUGCUUUUCUUCUUUCCUUUGAGCAUCAUUUUUGCUCUCCCAAGUAGGCACUUUAAAACAAAUAUAAAACAUUACAUUUUAAAAUAAAAUGACAAAAGUGAAUAAAUUAAUCAGUGGUCAUAGGCGACAUUUCACUACAAGUGUACGACAAAAACAACUUUUAGCAGCAAUAAACGUACUGUCACGCCCCGAGCCUACACCCUGGGUGUGGCCGGCACUCGGAGACCAUAGCUGGCCCCAAGCGAACACUUGGCCUGGCUUUCUUAACUCAGCGGAAACCUAACUCAACAGAAUAACUCAACUGAUAAAAUCUGGCCAAAAAGGCAACUCGAGUCUCAAAAUAGAAUAUUUAUAUAUAUAUAUAAAUGAGAGACUCAAUACUAACUGACUGACUGUCUAUGAAGCCUCUAUAAUACUGAGAUGGAUGUUGGGACAGACCCCGCAACAUCCUAAUAAAACAAAACUAAGAGAAACAAAAUAACCGAGUCCUCCGGAAAACAAGGAGGCUCACCACAGACUCUGGAGUGCUCAACUGGAUCAACGGCGUGCUGGAUGCUGAUCCUAGGUACCUGUGUCUACAUCAUAAAAAAAUGCAGGUCAACUGGCAUCAGUACAUGGAAUGUACGAGUAUGUGAGCUGGACCGCUAAACAACAACUUAAGCUUGAAAAGGGGUAUAAAAGAGAACUUACCUUGGCUUUAUUCAACUCAUGAAUAACUGAACUCAAUAUAAAGCAAUAAGACACAUGAAAUAUAUAUAGCUUGCAAAACUAUUUAAAACAUGACGUCAAAAUCAUAUUUAUAAUAUCAUAAAAAUACCAUGCUUCCUCUCAAAGUCUACUUGUGCAAUGCAUGAAUGAAGUCCCAUACCCCCAUCCAUACUAAGCAGAACCCCUCGAGGAACCAUGCAAUUUCUACUGUGGGAGUUUCUCUAACCGACAACCACCACUAUGACCUAAGUGGUGACACAACGUCUUGUCCACGCUGCCAGAACUGUUCUAUACUUUGUCGUUAUAUAGAACUACUUAACUUUAACUUAGUGGAUCCACUAGCUUAACUUACGUGAUCAUCUAAAAAGUAUGACCCGUUAAAUCCCAUGUUGGCCACAUGGUUCUUAUGGAGAGUUGAGUUAAUAUGAACUCGUGUCCCCAAUUCGGUGCUCAAGACUACUCCCAAAAAUAUACUUUAGCCCAUAUGUUUUAAAAACAAACUUCUUUCUCUAAUUUGAAUUACUUGCGCAAACUACCCUCUUAAAAGAGGUAAUUGCUCUUGAAAACUCUUUCUAAAAAGAACAUAUCAAAACCAUAUUUUUAUAUGAUCAUUGAUGACUCGGGAAGUCAUACUGCAUAAACAUUGAUGGUAUAUCUAGAGACCAUACUGUUUAAACAUUGAUGACAUACUCGAUUUUUCAUACUAAUCAUGUUUUAGAAACUCUUUCGCAAAACUCAUCUUUUUCUUAAAGGAGAUAGUACUCAAACUGCUCAAAACUCUUUUGGAAAUCUCAAUUUCCUCUCAUCUUAAAUGUGAAAACAUUUAUAAACUUAUUUGGGAAUACUUAGUUCCCUAAUAACUUUUGAGAAAUGAACUUGACUCUAUACUCUUUAAUUAACUUGAAACUCUAUACUCUUUACUUAACUUAAAACUGUAUACUCUUUACUUAAGUUGAAACUUGAGUUUUAAAAUGAAGUUAAAACGUUUAAUAACGACUCUUGAAAAACUUUGAAAACUUGCUUUGACUCGCUUCUUAACUUCUAGACUUGACCCUUAACUUCACUUUGACUUGAUCCUAACUCGCCUUGAAUUGGAUUAUGGAUUCAAGGUAUAUGAUAACAUGUUUAUGGAUGAAUUCUUGACGUUUAGACAUACCUUGGAGUAUUAGAAACAACUAUAAAACAUAGGUACAAUACUAAGGAACAUGCAUGAAAAAGUGGGGAAUGAAUGGGAAAGGUUGGCGUCCUUGGCACUCUGAGAGGCGCGGGGCGCUAGACCACAAAGCUCAGAAGGGCAGUUGGGACGCACUUCUAGGCGCGCCCCCCAAGGAGAGAAGUUCAAAACACUUCUUGGGGCGCUCUGCAAGGCGCGACGCGCCACCCCUUUUCCCCAAAAACUCGACUUUUUUCCUUCAUUUCUCCAACUCUAAACCUUCUCAACCUCAAAGUUUCCAGCCCCAAACACUUAAUAUCAUAAGACCCCUCAACAUACAAUAGAUUUAACCCGGAAACACAACCGGAAGCAUGUCCCAAAUCAACAAGGAACUUCAACAACACAAUCAACAACAUCAACAAUACAACCAACAACUUCAACAACACAACCAAUCUUUUCUCGGAAAUAAAACGAUUUUGGUGUGUGGGGGAAAGAACCAACCCAACACUAUGAACUCACAUACCUAGUAGGGAUCACCCCCGACGAUAUCCACGACGAUCUUUGACGAAACCUUGCUUGAUCUUGUCUUUCUUCUCCUCUUCACUCACAAACCCUCACUCUCACUCUUUUAAAAAGGGAAAACUGAUCUAAAAAUCAGUCUAACACAUUAAUAUAACCAAAAGAAUUGGUUAGGGAAAAGACCAAAAUACCCUUACAAAUUUCCGGGCGGACCUUCCCUGCCAACUGCCCAACUUCCAAAAGGCAUAACUCACUCAUACGAACUCGGAAUCAAGUAAAAUUGGCGGCGAUGAAAAGAUCAUUCCAUGAGCUUCGCAAACAUAACUGGAACUACACCUAACUCAUCAUGAGCUAGGAGUUAUGACUGUUCAAAGUUGGUCAAAACUCACCUUUUUUCUACACUUGUCCAAAUUUCCAGAUUUUUAAAUUCUUUCCAAAAAUGACUAUCUCCAAUUCUAAGCCUCUUCAUAGUUAUUUCAAAUUGCCGGAUGUUACAAAUACACAUUAACAAAGACUGCUAAAACCUUUACUUGUAUUAAUUAAUUAUCAUUGGAUUCAAUGUCUCUAUAGGCUUUAGGGACACUUACAAAAAGUGCUAAUUGCCGCUAAAAAUACAUGUUUAGUAGCGAUUAAGCUAUAGCCGUUAAUUAAUUACCCCUAAAGAUCAUUUUUGAUGUAGUGUAGAUCACUACACCUUUAUCUUGAGUCGAGGGUCCACUACUAGAAAACUGUAAAUUACCUGGGAAUUUCAUUUGGAGAUUAUUUUCGCAGAAAUUUCCUAUGAAUUUUCAUGCGGAAAUAUGAAAUUCCUAAAUUCUAGACUUCUCUACAUGCGAAAAAUAAUUUCCCUGAAAAAUUGGUAGGUAACUUUGGCGCCAUUUUUACAAAAUUAUUACCUAUGGAAUUAUUUGGGAAAAAUAAUUUGCAAGUAGCAUUUUCAUAGGUAAAUUCACAAGUAAUAAAAAAAUUUAUUUUUUUAGUAUGUUUGCAAGAAAAUUCCUAGAAAAACAUAUUUGCAGAUUUAGCUAGAAAUAAUUACUUGAAAAUUUAUUUGCAAAUAAUUUUAUACGUGUUAUUACUUGGGGAUUUUAUUGUUGUGACUUUGGUUGAAGAUUUUUAGAGGAAUGCAUACUUGAAUUUUUUUAAAUACAAUUUAAUUGGAAGUAUUUUCUUGGAAUCUAAGGAUUUUUUUAUUUGGAGUCUUCAAGAAAUAUUUUCUUUAAAAUAUAUUUAACAAAAUCUAAAACUAUAAUAAUAUAAAAAAUAACAAUGACAUUAGAAUGAAUUUUAUUGUUAAAUAUAUACUCUACUUUUAGAUUACAUAAAUUAUUAUACAAUAAUAUCAAUCUAACACUAUAUUGGAACAUUACCACAAAUGUCAUGAACAAUAUUUUUAACUUAUAUAUAGUUACAAUAUUUAGUCCUAAAAACCAAUGAUGCGAUAUUUUUUUUUUGAAAGAUACAAAAGCAUUAAAAAUUAUAUGGCUAGUUAUUUAUCCUUAGAAAAAUAACUAUCAUAAAUAUAUUUAUUUUUGAUUAGAUAUUACUUUAUAUUAAAUUUCGUAUUAUUGAAUAAGUCAAUCACUGUUUAAGUAGAGUAAAAUUAAAUUAUAUACAUUAUUAAUGUGAAUUUUAAUCAACCCCUAGUUUAUAGAAUUAUAUUAAAUGAAAAAUAAAUAAAAUUUUAACUAUAUAUCAAAUUUAUAUUUUUUUUUUCUUACAAGCAUUAAAUAUGAUAUAAUUUCUCUAUAGUAAGUUAUUAAAUGUUAUUUAUUUGCAAAUAUUUAUUAUUAAGUAUGUUAAAAUAUAAUUAUUAAAAGAUAAAUUAAAAUUAUAAAACCACAAAUACCUAAUAAGAUGUACUAUCAAUUAUUGGUUAUAACUUUCUUGCACUUUAAUUUAAAUUAUAGAUUUAUUUAUAUUUUCAAUUAUUUUUUUAUAAGAACUUUUUAUGUAUAAUAUAAAUUUUGUCUACGUUUAAUAUGCUUAGCUAUGGAUAUUAUCUCAUAGAAAGUGUAAGCAUAAAAUUUUCAUGAUAUGUUGGGUGGUGGUGAUUUAAUUUAAAUAUAUAGUUUCACUUUUUAAGAGUUAAAUCAAAUGAACUUUAGCCAACAUUUAAGAUAUAUUUUUUACCUUAUUGAUAUGACAUGAAAAGAUUAGCAUUUAUAAUGCUACGACUAAUUAAACACAAGUAAAAUAAAAUUUCAUGUUGGUAAGUUUUAAUGAAAAAAAUCAAUUAAAUAGAUUGAAGACUUUGUAAGUGAAACACUCAUAGUUGAGUGACUUUGUAAGUGAAACACUCAUAGUUAAGUGACUUUUGAGUUAAAAAUCAAAGUUGAGUGACUUUCUGAGAAAAAAACUCAUAGUUGAGUGACUUUGAAGUUAAAAACCAAAGUUGAGUGUCUUUCUAAGAAAAUAGUACAUAGUUGAAUGACCUUAUGAGAUAUUAAAAAUUUAGACACAUAUCAAACAAAAUUUUGAAUUAAAAGCAAAUAAAAGAAUAAAAAUAAAAAUUCCACACGGUAUUAUUGUUCAUUUUUUCCUCACUUGACUUAGUCAAGAAAUAGUUUCUCUUAGAAGUUCUGCAUAAUUUUUUUCUACAUAAUGGGACCAAUUUCACAUCAUCUUAUGUAACACACUGCAGAGAUUGCUAAUAACCUCCAAAUGAACACAACAUCUAGAGAAAAUGAGGGCAUAUGGAGUAUUAUUUUGUUAAGUCUCCUCCGUCCUCUAACAAGUCUUGUAGAACACUACAAAAUAUGAGUAACAAGUUGUUAGAAGUGAGUAGUACUCUUCUUGUGAUUCAAUUGUUCAACAAUCUCGAUUUAUCAUAAUCUUUUUCCCCUUCUAGUCUGUUGUGAUCAUGGAUAGCCGAGAAGUUAGACAACUUGUUGGGCCCGAGGCUAAACCACGAAGUGGAUAAGACAGCCCAACAAUAGGUUUGCUUGGAAUCCAGGUUGAGUACAAAUAAAAGGGUAAUCACUGUGGUUUUGGGAGUUUAUGCAGAUUGUGAAAGAAAUUGUUUGUUCCUCCCAUCUCUUUCUAGAGUCUAAGCUUUUCAUCCACAUUUUUAUCUCUAUCUUUAGUUACUUGUUAUUUAAGUAUUUUCCUUUGUAAUUCUAUAGUUGAAGUGUUGCCGUCGUGAUUUGUCUAUCAGUGAUUACAUAUUACUUGAGUAUUUGAGUUGCGAAUUUAGAUUCGUUACAUAGUCUUUGAGGAAAUUGGCUUAAAGGUUUACAAGUCAUCGUCCGCUAGUUACAUUACUACAUCCUUUAUUUCCUUAGGUGGAAUGGAAUAUUGAUGGAUUUUCCCUUGUUAACUAAAUGUGAAAACUAUUGUGUACCUAACAAGUUUGAAAAUAGCAGAAGAGACAACUAAUCACUAACUCAGAAUAUUGACCUUUUAUGAUGGUAUAGAUUCCAUGGAGCUUGGUUUCCUCUAUUCCAAACGUACCAUAACUGUUGUCAUAAUUGGUGUCCCUUCUUGUCACAUGGAAGAUGAAAUGGAGUAACAUCAUGUCUUUAUUGCUCAUUUAUUUUUAUUUUUCUCAAUUGACUUGGUUAUACAAUAGUUUCUCUCUUUGAAAAGUAUUGUGGAAAACAGAAGAAGAGAUGUUGAUGGAAAGCUAGACAAGAAUGACUUAAAAUAGGAGUUCAAAUUUCUACCUAUCCAUCUAUACUAAUGUUAAAUUGCUAUAAUAUUUUCAACUUAAAACACUUAAUUUAGUAUAUUUUUUAUAAUUUAUAAUAUGUUAUAUUAUAUUUAUUUAUUUAAUUUAAAAUAUAGUGUACUACAUGAUUUAGCAUUCAUGUGCAAUGCACGUGCAACAAACCUAGUACUAUCUUAAAAACUAUGUUACUUAGAUUAUUUAAAAAUGUCAACAGGUACGUGUUAGAUUCUUCAAAAGUUAUGUAUUUUUUAAGAAAUCAACAUUGGUGCAACAUCAUCAUCUUUUUGGAGAGCCUGAGCAACAUAGUUCAUUUAUACAAGAAAAUUGGAAAAAGAAGUGCAAUAAGCAUAUAGAAGAAGCAUGAAAUAGAAAGAGUAGCAUUGCUUAAUCAGCUAGUACUGUAGCUUAUCGUAAUCACUAGUAAUUGAUGAAUCACACUUGAAGCAUAUCAUGAAUUUGGGUUAAAGACUUAGAAGUCAUUGUCUGCUAGUUAAUACGAGACGGUCCUAUAUAUGAAGAAUAAUGGAGUUUCCCUCAUUUUUGCUCUCCCAAGUAGGCACUUUAACAAUUCAAAAUUUAAACAAAUAAAAACUCGAUUUUACCUUUGACACACGUGAAUUGCACGCAUUUUACCAAGUAGGAUUUGAGUGUUUAUUUAUCAAGUAGGAUUCGAUCUUGGCUCACUUUGGCAACUCAAUUUAUCUCACAACGAUCCCAGAGAAGAUAUCCCAACGGAACUGGGACAAAUGAAUACGCUUUUAAGUUCUAGAUUUCUCAUGGAAUUGGCUCACUUGAAAGACUCCAAGGGAACUGACAAGACUAAAAAAUUUGCCAGAUUUUGUUGGUAUAAUAUACCACAAAUAUAAAACAUUAUAUUUUAAAAUAAAAUGACAAAAGUGAAUAAAUUAAUCAGUGAAUUUACGUGGGAAUCAGUGGCCAUAGGCUACAUUUCACUACAAGUCUACGACAAAAACAACUUUUAGCAGCAAUAAAUAUACACAUUAACAAAGAGUGCUAAAAUUUUACUGGUAUUAAUUAAUUGUCAUUGGAUUCAAUGUCUCUAUAGGCUUUAGGGACACUUACAAAAAGUGUUAAUUGCCGCUAAAAAUACAUAUUUAGUAGCGAUUAAGCUAUAGCCAUUAAUUAAUUACCCCUAAAGAUCAUUUUUGAUGUAGUGUAGAUCACUACACCUUUAUCUUGAGUCGAGGGUCCACUACUAGAAAACUGUAAAUUACCUGGAAAUUUCAUUUGGGAAUUAUUUUCGCAGAAAUUUCCUAUGAAUUUUCAUGCGGAAAUAUGAAAUUCCUAAAUUCUAGACUUCUCUACAUGCGAAAAAUAAUUUCCCAGAAAAAUUGGAAGAUAACUUUAGCGCCAUUUUUACAAAAUUAUUACCUGGGGAAUUAUUUGGGAAAAAUAAUUUGCAAGUAGCAUUUUCAUAGGUAAAUUCGCAANNNNNNNNNNNNNNNNNNNNNNNNNNNNNNNNNNNNNNNNNNNNNNNNNNNNNNNNNNNNNNNNNNNNNNNNNNNNNNNNNNNNNNNNNNNNNNNNNNNNNNNNNNNNNNNNNNNNNNNNNNNNNNNNNNNNNNNNNNNNNNNNNNNNNNNNNNNNNNNNNNNNNNNNNNNNNNNNNNNNNNNNNNNNNNNNNNNNNNNNNNNNNNNNNNNNNNNNNNNNNNNNNNNNNNNNNNNNNNNNNNNNNNNNNNNNNNNNNNNNNNNNNNNNNNNNNNNNNNNNNNNNNNNNNNNNNNNNNNNNNNNNNNNNNNNNNNNNNNNNNNNNNNNNNNNNNNNNNNNNNNNNNNNNNNNNNNNNNNNNNNNNNNNNNNNNNNNNNNNNNNNNNNNNNNNNNNNNNNNNNNNNNNNNNNNNNNNNNNNNNNNNNNNNNNNNNNNNNNNNNNNNNNNNNNNNNNNNNNNNNNNNNNNNNNNNNNNNNNNNNNNNNNNNNNNNNNNNNNNNNNNNNNNNNNNNNNNNNNNNNNNNNNNNNNNNNNNNNNNNNNNNNNNNNNNNNNNNNNNNNNNNNNNNNNNNNNNNNNNNNNNNNNNNNNNNNNNNNNNNNNNNNNNNNNNNNNNNNNNNNNNNNNNNNNNNNNNNNNNNNNNNNNNNNNNNNNNNNNNNNNNNNNNNNNNNNNNNNNNNNNNNNNNNNNNNNNNNNNNNNNNNNNNNNNNNNNNNNNNNNNNNNNNNNNNNNNNNNNNNNNNNNNNNNNNNNNNNNNNNNNNNNNNNNNNNNNNNNNNNNNNNNNNNNNNNNNNNNNNNNNNNNNNNNNNNNNNNNNNNNNNNNNNNNNNNNNNNNUUUUCCUCACUUGACUUAGUCAAGAAAUAGUUUCUCUCAUUGGAAAUUUCUUAGAAGUUCUGCAAAAAAAAUUUCCACAUAAUGGGGCCAACUUCACAUCAUCCUGCCUAACACACACUGAAGCGAUAGAUAAUGACCUCGAAAUAAACUCAACAUCUAGAGAAAAUUAGGACAUAGAGUCUUAUUUUGUUAAGUUUUCUCCGUCCUCUAGAAAGUCUUGUGAAACACUACAAAAUAUGAGUAACAAGUUGUUAGAAGUGAGUAGUACUCAUCCAUGGACCACAAGUUGCGUAGUUAGUGAUGCGAAAGUGGUACUAUCUACCAACACUGACUUAAAGACUUGAGUUAACACUUGGGACAACUCUUUUUGCAACCACAAAUUAGUUAGUACCCCAUUUUAUACCUCAUAGUCUCAUGCAUAGAUAAGUCAACCACGUUACUUUAUCAAAUAGUGUUUAGUUAAUUGCUCGUUGUAAUAAUUAAGNNNNNNNNNNNNNNNNNNNNNNNNNNNNNNNNNNNNNNNNNNNNNNNNNNNNNNNNNNNNNNNNNNNNNNNNNNNNNNNNNNNNNNNNNNNNNNNNNNNNNNNNNNNNNNNNNNNNNNNNNNNNNNNNNNNNNNNNNNNNNNNNNNNNNNNNNNNNNNNNNNNNNNNNNNNNNNNNNNNNNNNNNNNNNNNNNNNNNNNNNNNGUUCGAGGUUCUUAUUAAUAUUCUAGGAAGGUUUUAAACGCAUCUAGAAUAUCCACUAAUGUGGUUAUCCGACGAUUAAUUUUUUUGGCUAAAAUAAUUUAACUUAGCUUGAAUUGCAAAAUUGAACUAUUAUAUAGUUGGGACCAUUUUAAGAGAAAAAUAUCAAAAUACUAAAAAAUAAAUUUAUCCAAGUGAAAUAUUUUGUAAACUUAUUUAUUUUAUUUAUUUAUUUAUUUUUAGGUCAAGUAGGAGAUGAAUAGUUUAGUUUAAAUAAUUAACUCAAAAUGGGUGUCUUUUGGGGGGUUUGAAUGUUUGAAACCUUAAAAUCAAUAUCAAUUAUUAACAAAUAAAUAAACACAAUAAAAUAAAGAGAGAGAAUUAGGCCCAAGUCUGGAUUUCCUGUCCGUCUGGGCCAGUACUUGGGCCUAAUUUCAGUUUUGGGCCCUUGGCCCAUUUAAGUCAUUUGUACCUGUCCUAUUCUAACAUAAUAGAACUAUUUUCCAUUUGGGGGCCUUAGGCCCAAUUCUUCCACCUGUUCAAACUAGCACAAUAAUUGCAAAUAAAAUGACAAGGGCUUAGGCCCAAAAAAUAACAAAAUACAACUUCUUAAAGAAGAGUGGGCCUCUUUAAGGCCAUUUUCUCAUUUUUCGUAUACACUAGGUGUAUACUAGUGUAUACAAUCUCGUAUCAGCUCCAAACCCUGUUCAUCAAAUUUUUGGGACCCCUCCUUCAAUUGCUAUGGUUGGUUGACUCGAUAAAGGAUUUUUGGGGCACUCGUGGCCCCCUUUGGAAUGCAAAGGUUGAGUCCAUGAGGACUUGGGCAUAUUUCACAUGAAAAGACACAUAAAUAAGAAUUAGCACCUUAUUAUAGGUUGAUGAAAGUAAUUAUGAAUUGAUUAAUAUUAGACUCAAACUUAAACAAGUUCCAAUAGAGUAGUAAAUCCACGGUGAUUAUGCAAACGAAGCCUUAUCACAUUACUCAACUAACAUGAAAGACAUGGUAACCUCUCAAUUAAUAUAAACUCAAGUUUCCUUUCAAAAAGUAUGAAAAUAAAAAAAAAGUAAAGCAUUAGAAGGAGACAGUAGCUAUGAUGUCAAAUAAUUAAGUGGCUAAAAUUCUAAAGAAAAAUUAUUCUGAUUAUGAAUCUACACCCAGAUGUAGCAUCUAUGAUAAACACACUUGUCACAUAAUUAAAUAUAGUCCACACAUUUCAAAAAUAAUAAUAAAUAAAUAAAUUAGGAGAAUACUUCAACUUUGCAUAUAUCUAAAAAAAAAACAAAGGAAGAGAAAAUCAAUAAGGAUUAAAUCGACUAAUACAUAGACUCUUUUUUUUAAAAAAUAAAAUAAAAUAAAAUAAAGAAAUAAGAUAAAAAUAAAUAAAUAAAUAAACAAGAGCUAAUUGAUUACAUACAAACGAAACGAAACGGUUAACAUGCUAGACUCAGUUUAAGCUUGACUAAAAAAUUUCUGAAUAGACGAUUUACCACAGAUUUAGUGCAUAUUGCAAAACCAAUGAGGUAGGACACUUUAUCCAUGGACAAACCAACAAAUAUUGCUUAUGAAAUAUAGCAAGAGAUCACAUGAUUUGCAGCCAUGAAUAGGAGGGAGCUUGGGGAUUUGCAACUUUAUUAAAAAGGGGGAAAGGAGGGAAGAAUAUACGUCAUUUAACAGACAAGAUUAGACAUUCAAAACAUAAUUAUUAAGACUACUUCAUUAUUUUGUUUCCCACCCGGUGUCCGGAGCCCACUUUGGAGUUCCGACUAAAUUCGGAUCGCGCUUUGCAGGGCCCAUUCGGGGGUGGCGCUCCCAACAAAAUUUUCUCCAUACCCAGGGCUCGAACCCGAGAUCUCUGGUUAAGGGUGAAGCACUCCCACCAGUGCACCACUACCCAUGUUGGUACCGUAUCCCUUAUUUCCUUAGGUGGAAUGGAAUAUUGAUGGAUUUUCCCUCAUUAGCUUAAUGUGAUCGAAAACUAUUGUGUACCUAACAAGUUUGAAAAUAGCAGAAGAGACAACUAAUCACUAACUCAGAAUAUUGAUCUUUUAUAAUUCUAUAAUUCCGUGGAAAAAUUGCAUCAAAAUUUAAUGUAAUUGUACAACUUGGUUUCCUCUAUUCUGAAUGUACACUAAUUGUUCUCAUAAUUGGUUCAAUGACGUGUCUUAACCUUUUAUGAUUAUAUAAAUUCUGUGGAAAAAUUGCACUAAAAUCCUCAAUUGACUUGGUCAUAUAAUAGUUUCCCUCUUUGAAAAAGUAUUGUGAAAAACAGAAGAAGAGAUGUUGAUGGAAAGUUGGACAAAAUCAUCAUAUAUCUAUCAUUUUGGCCUUAUACUAAAUUAUAUAUUAUUAUAUUUAUAUAUUAUUAAAAGUGGAAAGCUCUUGUCUUCAAAGUUGAUUUACCAUUUUGCUCUUAUAUUAAAUUAAUUUUUUUAUAAAAUAAUUUUUCUUUACACCAUAAUUAAAAAAAAUCAAUUAAAUUAGUUUUCAAUANNNNNNNNNNNNNNNNNNNNNNNNNNNNNNNNNNNNNNNNNNNNNNNNNNNNNNNNNNNNNNNNNNNNNNNNNNNNNNNNNNNNNNNNNNNNNNNNNNNNNNNNNNNNNNNNNNNNNNNNNNNNNNNNNNNNNNNNNNNNNNNNNNNNNNNNNNNNNNNNNNNNNNNNNNNNNNNNNNNNNNNNNNNNNNNNNNNNNNNNNNNNNNNNNNNNNNNNNNNNNNNNNNNNNNNNNNNNNNNNNNNNNNNNNNNNNNNNNNNNNNNNNNNNNNNNNNNNNNNNNNNNNNNNNNNNNNNNNNNNNNNNNNNNNNNNNNNNNNNNNNNNNNNNNNNNNNNNNNNNNNNNNNNNNNNNNNNNNNNNNNNNNNNNNNNNNNNNNNNNNNNNNNNNNNNNNNNUCUUUGCAUUUAAUAAUUAUAAUAACCAUAACUUUAUAUGAAACGUUGGUGGUUCAAUUAUUUAAUUGUUACGUUAACCAAUGGCCAACUUCUCAUUGCUACAGUAAGUACAAAGAAGUUGAAAAGUUGAAUUGAAUAUUAAUUAGUAAAUUAAUUCAUUAGUAAAUAAAUGAAAGGAAAUUUCAAAGGUCUAGGAAAAAAUAUUAUAUAAAGGCUAAACGAGUUCACUAAUUUCCCAUCUGCUCUUUGUAACUUUUGAGAUUGAAUGCAAAUCAUUUUAACUUCGAUUUCAUUUUUUCCCUUUUCUUUUUAUAUCCUUUGAUAGUUUGCAUAUAUAAAAGAAGAGAUGGGAGUAUGUAAGAUUGUUUUUUAUGCCUUCUAAUAGUUUGCAUAAAAGAAGAGAUGAGAAGUAUGUAAGAUUAUUGAUGCCAAAUUAGAGUAGCUGUCAUAUUCAAUUUUUACUACUCUUGAAUUAUCAGCUAUAAUAUAAUCUUCCGAGAAAUUAUGAUCAAAAUCACCAUCUCUCCUCCCUUUCAACUAUCAGUAUUACACCGUUUAUACUAGUUUUGUAAAAAAUUUAAAACAUACUAUUUUGGUGAAUUGAUUUAAACAAUGGCUUAUUUUGGUCAAAAUUUUGAUUUCUCCGGAAGGUUGAUCAUAGUUGACAUAAAUGAAUUCAUUGUUAUAGUAUAAUCUGAUUACAAUUCUUUAAGAUACAAAGAUAUUAUACUCUCUACAAAUAAGUUAUUUCAUGAUAUAAAGAAAUGGUGUUAUUUGAAUGCGUUGAUUGAUGCUCCUCUUCACGUUGAUUACUGGCUAUAACCUUUUAUCAUCAUUGCAAUAUUCAACUUUAACUUGAAUUAUUACUUGAAAAGAACUCAUUAAUCUUUUUUGUGUAUGCAUGGCAUAUUUGGUUAAUUAGAAUUACAAUACUUUGAUUUCACAUGUAUUGGAAUUUCAUUUGUUUCCAUGCACAAUUGUUAAGCUUAUAACAAUUAGCUUUAAAUUUUUAAUUAGCAUAUAUUAUUUGCGUUUUGUAAAUUUUAACGAGAAUUGUUUUAAAUAUCAUAUCUAAGUUUUUUGUUUAAAUAUUUCAGAUUCAUUGUUUUGCUAUUUGGUGUGAGCAUCACAAUUCAUUAUUCAAUUAUUAUGUCAUGAAAUUUAUUACUUAAUGUUAUUAGGUGCAAAUAUUUUGCUUAUAAAGAAGUAUUAGUAUUAAAUAUUUGCACCUAAUAACAUUAAGUAAUAAAUUUCAUGACAUAAUAAUUGAAUAAUGAAUUGUGAUGCUCACACCAAAUAGCAAAACAAUGAAUCUGAAAUAUUUAAACAAAAAACUUAGAUAUGAUAUUUAAAAAAUCAUUUAGUGCUCAACGAAGAAGUCAUUCAAAUUGGAUGAGUGUUACAUUCAUCAAUUUUAGUUUGUACUUUUUUUUGUUAUUGAUUACACUAUGGUUUUAAUAUAACUUAUAUCGUGUAUACUACUUGCUUGAGACACACGUGCAACGUACGUGUUCAGAAACUAGUAUAUCUAUAAAAGCAAACGACAGAAAACUGUGAUCCUUCAAUACAAUAAGUUGAUUACUCAGUUUUCUUUGCUUAUGCAUCAUUUUUUAAUUUGAUCACUACACCUUUAUCCUGAGUUGAGGGUCUACGAAAACAGCCUCUCACUACACCUCUUCAUAUUUGAACGGUAUCAUAUAGAUGAAAUUUCCCUCAUUAACUUAAUGUGAAAAGUCUUUUGAAAAACAACUAAUCGGAAAUUAUUUCUCAUAAAAUUUCUCUACAGGUGUAGUGAUCUUCACCAAGUUAUUCAAAACAUAUAGGAAAUUAAGACGAGUUAAUACAUCAGAUGGUCACUCAACUAUGCACUAUUUUCUCAGAAAGUCACUCAACUUUGGUUUUAAACUUAAAAGUCACUCAACUAUGAGUUUUUUUCUCAGAAAGUCACUCAAAAAUACAUGUUUAGUAGCGAUUAAGCUAUAGCCGUUAAUUAAUUACCUCUAAAGAUCAUUUUUGAUGUAGUGUAGAUCACUACAUCUUUAUCUUGAGUCGAGGGUGCACUACUAGAAAACUGUAAAUUACCUGGGAAUUUCAUUUGGGGAUUAUUUUUGCAGAAAUUUUCUAUGAAUUUUCAUGCGGAAAUAUGAAAUUCCUAAAUCUAGACUUCUCUACAUGCGAAAAAUAAUUUCCCAGAAAAAUUGGUAGGUAACUUUUGCGCCAUUUUUACAAAAUUAUUACCUGGAGAAUUAUUUGGGAAAAAUAAUUUCCAAGUAGCAUUUUCAUAGGUAAAUUUGCAAGUAUUAAAAAAUUAAUUUUUUAGUAUGUUUGCAAGAAAAUUCCUAGAAAAACCUAUUUGCAGAUUUAGCUAAAAAUAAUUACUUGAAAAUUUAUUUGCAAAUAAUUUUAUACGUGUUAUUACCUGGGGAUUGAUGUUCUACAAAUUUUGUUGGGAAUUUAUUUCUUGAGGAUUUACUUGGGAAUUUUUCUUACUUGGAGAAUUACUUGGGGAUUUUAUUGUUGCGAAUUUGGUUGAAGAUUUGUAUAGGAAUGCAUACUUGAAUUUUUUUAAAUACAAUUUAAUUGGAAGUAUUUUCUUGGAAUCUAAGGAUUUUUUUAUUUGGAGUCUUCAAGAAAUAUUUCUUUAAAAUAUAUUUAACAAAAUCUAAAACUAUAAUAAUAUAAAAAUAACAAUGACAUUAGAAAGAAUUUUAUUGUUAAAUAUAUACUCUACUUUUAGAUUAAAUAAAUUAUUAUACAAUAAUAUUAAUCUAACACUAUAUUGGAACAUUACCACAAAUGUCAUGAACAAUAUUUUUAACUUAUAUAUAGUUACAAUAUUUAGUCCUAAAAACCAAUGAUGCGAUUUUAUUUUUUUGAAAGAUACAAAGCAUUAAAAUUAUAUGGCUAGUUAUUUAUCCUUAGAAAAAUAACUAUCAUAAAUAUAUUUAUUUUUUAUUAGAUAUUACUUUAUAUUAAAUUUCGUAUUUUUGAAUAAGUCAAUCACUGUUUAAGUAGAGUAAAAUUAAAUUAUAUACAUUAUUAAUGUGAAUUUUAAUCAACCCCUAGUUGAUAGAAUUAUAUUAAAUGAAAAAUACAUAAUUUUUAACUAUAUAUCAAAUUUAUAUAUAAUUUUUUCUUACAAGCAUUAAAUAUGAUAUAAUUUCUCUAUAGUAAGUUGUUAAAUGUUAUUUAUUUGCAAAUAUUUAUUAUUAAGUAUGUUAAAAUAUAAUUAUUAAAAAAGGUAAAUUAAAAUUAUAAAACCACAAAUACCUAAUAAGAUGUACUAUCAAUUAUUGGUUAUAACUUUCUUGCACUUUAAUUUAACUUAUAGAUUUAUUUAUAUUUUCAAUUAUUUAUUUAUACGAACUUUGUAUGUAUAAUAUAAAUUUUGUCUACAUUUAAUAUGCUUAGCUAUGGAUAUUAUCUCAUAGAAAGUGUAAGCAUAAAAUUUUCAUGAUAUGUUGGGUGGUGGUGAUUUAUUUUAAAUAUAUAGUUUCACUUUUUAAGAGUUAAAUCAAAUAAACUUUAGCCAAGAAAUAGUGUUUAGUUAACUUUUUGUUUUAUUUAAUAUGGAGGUCGUUGUAAUAAUUAAGAAAUAAAAUAGUGUUUAGAUAAUUAUAGCAUUCUUUCUUACAUGACUACUUAUUUUAUUGACUUAUUUAUAUAUUGACGAUCAUCAUGAACCCAUAUUAUUAUUUUUACCUUUUUAUUCCUAUUACUAUUUUUAUUUAUUCAUUAUUGAAAUAUUCUAAAGCCUACCAAACGGUAAAACCUUUUGCAUUAUGCAAAAUAAAUUGUUGGGUGUUAAAAAAAGAUCAAAUUGUUUUUGGUGUAUUCUUUGAAUUACAAGCACUGCAACAAACAACUACAACAAAAAACAACUUUUAGCGGCAAUAAAUAUACACAUUAUUAAAGAGUGUUAAAGAUUUUGCCGGUAUUUUAAUAUUAUUAUAUCAACUUCUGAAAUUCAGCACAAUUAUUUCAAUAUCAUUGUAUAAUCUUAUUAAUGUUUUGAGUAAGAUUUGAUUAUUCUAACUUUAUAUUAUAUUUUUUCAUUGAAAAAUUUUGUUGUUUGUAUUCUUACUUUAAAGGUCUGCGUACAUCCUACCUUCUUGAAACUUUACUCGUAGGAUUACAUUAAUAAGUAUGUUAUAGGUAUUCAAUUUACAUAGGACACUUAGAAAGUAGUAUAUAUCUGUGUGGAUAAGACUGAUUGAUUUGUAAGAAGAACACAUCCAUCCUGUUAUUUGGUGAAAUCAAACAAACAAAAAAUGGCCGUGAGUCUGUUUUUCUUUUAUUCAUUUCUCUGUUUUGUGUUUUUAAUAAGUGAAUGCUUUUCUUCAUCCUUUGAUCAUCAUCUUUGCUCUCCCACUGAAGCUUCCUCUUUGCUUCAGUUCAAACAAUCCUUUCAAAUUAUGUCCAAAGAGUACUUUAGUUAUUGGUCUGAUGGAGAUUCUUUCCCGAAAACAAAGUCUUGGAAUGAGAGUAGGGAUUGCUGCAGUUGGGAUGGAGUCACUUGUGACUUAUUAAACGGUCAUGUUAUCGGGUUAGACCUUAGUAGUAGUCUGCUUUGUGGAAGUAUUCAUCCCAAUAGCAGCCUCUUCCAACUUCAUCAUCUCCAAACACUAAACCUUUAUAACAACCUCUUCAAUUAUUCUUCAAUCCCACAUAGCAUUGGCCAAUUGACGAAUUUGAGGCAUCUCAACCUUUCUCAUUCUCACUUUGGUGGGAAAAUCCCAACAGAAAACUCAUACCUUUCUAAUUUGGUUUUACUUGAUCUUUCUGUGUAUGGAUUACAACUUGAUGAGAGAACAUUUGAAACAAUGCUUCACAACUUCACAAAUCUGGAGGUACUAGCUCUCUCUCUUGGCGACAUCUCAUCACUGAUACCUGUAAGUAUUCAUCCCAAUAGCAGCCUCUUCCAGCUUCAUCAUCUCCACACACUUAACCUUGAUAACAAUUACUUUUAUCCUUCUUCGAUCCCAAAUGGCAUUGGCCGAUUGAGGAAUUUGAGGCAUCUAAAACUCUCUGGCUUUGAUGGGAAAAUCCCAACAGAAAUCUCAUACCUUUCCAAUUUGGUUUCACUUGAUCUUU